CCCUCUCCUCUUCCCCUUCCUCGCAGCGGUUUGCGAUUUGCCCCUUCUCGCUCCAUCUCUCUUUCUCAUCCCGUGCUUCCACCCAUAUGCGCAGCCAACGGGAUUUAGCGCUAUGAGACGACUGCUCGGCGAAGUUCAUUCCCAGGUUGCCGGCGUGUUCAAUCGGGUGACUAACCCUCCUCGGCUCCUCCUCCUCAACGAUUCACGGCAAGAACCGGGACAGCGCCGUGCCCUUCCCCGUCUCCAACACUACAGUGCUCGCGCCGUCGGUGCUGUCGUAUUUCAUUAUCAUUCGAAUAUGUGUGGAUUUGACCCCUUCGUUGCCUUCCCAUCAUGUUGUGUUCAUUCUUUUCUGAAUCUGAUUCUCAUGCCUGGUGCGAAUCUUCUAUAAAUCGUUGUCAGGAUUUGUUCCUUCGAUCCCGGUUAUAAUUCGUUGAAUCGCCCUCGCGGAUCCCGUUUGCGUGCGUGCGUGAUGGUUGGGGCGUGACCACGGGUUGAAUACUAAAAAACGUAGGGUGUUUCUUGCAUAAACGAACGUUUUCUUGGAUAAGUCACUUAGAAUAGGACUGCGGGUUGAAUACCUAAAUCAGCAGGGGCUUUUUCACAAAAACACCAACGACGGACGACCGAAACCCAAUUUUUUUUUAAUUAUUAUUAGGUAAAGAUAACUGACCUUGGCUUUUUUGGGGGGAGUAUAUUUUUCGUCCUUGAACUUUGUCGAAAGUAUAUAAAUGAUCCCUCAACUUCAAAACCGGCAAACCUUAGUCCCUCAACUUUUCAGACCAUAUUACUUCAGUCCCUUGUCUCGCUUUGGGUGGUUUUAGUCUGACGUGGACACAGUUUUGACCAAAACUUGUGACGUCGCCUGGGUUUGACCGCCAUGUCAUAGUCCACAUCGUUUUUUCUUCAAAACUUUUUUUCUUCAAAACUGGCCCCAAAUCCAACCCAGGGUUGGCGAGCUCGGAUGAGAACGGCGACGGCGUUGUCUAUGACGGUCAUGCAGCGGAGGUGGAGCGCUCGAGCAGCGCGAUGAGCACAGCGACCCAGGGAGUGGCGUCGAGCUGCACAUGAAUAGCUGUGCUAGCUCUUCCGUCCAUGCUUCGCACAUGAAUAAAUCAUGCCUGAAUAGCGAUCGAGUAAUGCAUGCAUGUACUGUAUGUAUGUCUGCACUGCGUGCAGCACUGCGGCUAAAUGGGUUCUCGUGCAAGAGGACCGGACGCCUUCUUCUCCUUCGCGCUGGCACUCCCGGUAAACACGGCAACCCGGACGGCUCCGCGAUGCCGGCCACGAACGUGGAGAAGCUCCCGGGGCUCAACAUGCUGGGAGUCUCCAUGUCCCGCUUGGACUACGCACCGUGGGGCGUGAACCCGCCACACACACACCCGUCGAGCUGCAGCCUGCGCCGGCGCGCCGCCGACCUUCUGAACGGGGGCCCGAGCAGGAGGAGCCGGCGAGUAGCUCGGACAAGCGCUCUGCAUGCACCUCCGUUGACGGGCGGCGUUGGUCGUGCCGUUGGUCAUGCACAAGCUCCGCCGAGGCCACAUUCUGACACGGUCGGCGUUCUCUUUCACACGAGCGUCCGUGCGUGUUGGGUUGAUGACGUCGCGCUUGAACCGGUCGACGGCGUCGUGGUCGAACCGACUCCGAGCUCGCGCCAUGGACACACGGACGCAUGGCAGAGCAACCGCCACCGGUGUGUGUGUUGUUGGUGUGGUUAAUGGUUAUGCGCGAGUGUGUGCGUGCGUCACCGGCGACAGCGAGCCUCGCCGCGGUCAUAAUAACUCCAUGCCUAUCUCCUUAUGUUUCUGGACGCGCGCCAACUGCUGGACGAAAUGCCUAGCAGAGUUAAAUUGGAAAGUGUUGAGUAACGUGAUUGUAUUAGGAAACAUAGGUUAGACUAGAAAAUAUUCUGGCUUGCCUUGUACUUCAAAUAGAUCAUGUACUCCUAUAUAUAUGCCCAUGAGGCUCAAGCAAUACAACGAACUAUUCCACCAAUCCUCCUCUCUCCCCUUCAACAUGGUAUCUAUCGCAAGUCGAUCCUAAACCCUAGCCGCCGUCGCUUCCGCACCUGCGCGCCGCCCCCGGGGCGGUCGGCCUCCAUGACCGCCGCCGGGGGCCGCGCUGCCCGUACCUAGGGUUCGUCCGCCGGCCGUGUUGGCCGGCUGCCCUAAAGAGUCUUUUUCUCGAUCCUUUGAUCCGAGUUUUUUUUCUCUCUCGCCAGUCGUUUUGAUCGGCGUUUACUUUUUGGUUUUCCGAUCUAAGAUCGGUUUGCGUCGCCCACCGCCGUCGUCGACCCCGUGCGCCUCUACUCCAACACCGGCGUGAUUGACCAGCUUCUUCAUCGACUCGGCGGCCUCGCGCGUCGUCUGCGCGUCUGCCCGUCGGUCGCCCCGACGCGGCGGCCUCGCGCGUCGUCCAUGCAUCGGCCCGCCGGUCGCCCCGACCCGGCGGCCUCGUGUCAUNNNNNNNNNNNNNNNNNNNNNNNNNNNNNNNNNNNNNNNNNNNNNNNNNNNNNNNNNNNNNNNNNNNNNNNNNNNNNNNNNNNNNNNNNNNNNNNNNNNNNNNNNNNNNNNNNNNNNNNNNNNNNNNNNNNNNNNNNNNNNNNNNNNNNNNNNNNNNNNNNNNNNNNNNNNNNNNNNNNNNNNNNNNNNNNNNNNNNNNNNNNNNNNNNNNNNNNNNNNNNNNNNNNNNNNNNNNNNNNNNNNNNNNNNNNNNNNNNNNNNNNNNNNNNNNNNNNNNNNNNNNNNNNNNNNNNNNNNNNNNNNNNNNNNNNNNNNNNNNNCGCGACGGUCCGCCCGUCGAUCUACGCCGGCCGUCACCGCCCUGCUCCGACCGGGACUCCUGCAUCACCCCGACCCGGCGGCCUCGCGCCAUGCGGCGGCCAAUCAUAGCCGCCCUGUCGCCUGCCGCCGCCGGCUUCAUCUCGGACUCCGCCGCCACCACGCCUCCAUCGAGCGGCGUCCCGACCUCGCGCGCGAUCGGCUUGAUCACCCGCUCGCCGCCGCGAUCCGCCUCAUCUACGCCGCGCGACCGACUUGGCCCGUCAGUAACGCGCGCCUCCGCAGGUCCCGUGAAGAUCGUCUCUGAGUUCAGCGCGGCCCUCCGCCGAUCGAGCAACGGGCUGCCGCUGCGUCGCCCCGUCGGGCCGCAGCGCCGCCGCCCCGUGGUUCUUCUCCUGGCUGCACCGACCCGCGUCACCGCUGCGUCGCCCCUUCGGGCCGUAGUGCCGCGGCCCGCGGUCCACCGCCGCCCCGAGGCCGUCCGCUCCUGGUCGUCCCCGUGGCCGCACCGACCCUCGCGCCGCCGCUACAUCGCCCCAUCGGGCCGUAGCGAGCGUGGCACGUGGUCCACGCAGCCGCCCCGAGGUCGUUCCCGCGGUUGCACCGACCCGCACUCCUCCGCCGCGCCGCCCUUUCGGGAUGUCGCGCCGCGGCCCGCGGUCUCCGCCGCCGCCCCGAGGUCUUACCGCCGUCGCCCCGACCUGCCCGCCGCCGCUGCGUCGCCCCUUCGGGCCGUAGCGCCGCGGCCCGCGGUCCACUCUGCCGUCACCGCGCGUCGACCUCCCGUGGUAUGCGCUGCGCCGUCUCCCUUGGCGCAGGAACGCCACCGUCCGCGCCGGUCUUCGUCACGCUGUCGGGUUCUUCGCCUACUUCGAGCACCGCCGCCGCGCUCCUAACCUAGCCGCCGCUGCCGCCGUCAGGCCGCCGCUGUCGCUCUUCUUUUGUAGCCGCCGCCGCUACCCCUGUAGCCGCCGCAGCCGCCCGUCCACCCCCUUCGUCUUCGUCCAGCACCAGCCUGUCGCCAGCGUCGCCGUCAUCUACACCAACCACUUCAUCUACUCCGACAACCGCGGGCGACAUCGGCCCCGCGCUGAUUGGCGCCCCAACCGUCGUUGUGUCCUUCUCUGCUGGCCUCUACGACUUCUCCGACAUGGCGUACAGCUCGUGCAGGUCCUUGUCUACGCAUGCCCGGUGCUGGCAACACCGAUGCAUGCCUUCGUCCAUGACGUGUCCCCGGGCCUGGCAAGCCUAGUGCGGCGCUUCAUCAACUUCGUCUUCGUCCGUCUACGCAUGCCCGGUUCUGGCAACACCGACGCCUGCCUUCGUCUACGAUGUGUCCCCGGGGUUGGCAACCCCGGCGCGACGCGUCGUCAACAUCAUCCACUUCCUGGCGCACCACUACUUCGACACCACUGCGCCCACGACUAACUCGGCGCCUCCUUGCGCCCACGGCUCCACGGCGACUUCCUCGACACCGGCUACCCCGACUCGACAUCGACCACGGCAUUCUUCUCACGGCUACCUCGACCUCGGCUCCACCACCCACGCUCUCGGCUACAUCGACAAACGACACAAAGGGCUACCGCCUGCUUGAGCAACCUCGUUGGUUUCCACUCCAGCCACGACUCCGCGAUGCAUCGACCGUUACGACUGUGGGGGGUGUCCGUCGGCUUGCCUUCGGAUUCUUCUCCAGUCUCACCGUCUGCAUCGCUACCGUUGUGACUGCGGGGGGAUGUUGAGUAACGUGAUUGUAUUAGGAAACAUAGGUUAGACUAGGAAAUAUUCUGGCUUGCCUUGUACUCCAAAUAGAUCAUGUACUCCUAUAUAUAUGCCCAUGAGGCUCAAGCAAUACAACGAACUAUUCCACCAAUCCUCCUCUCUCCCCUUCAACAGAAAGGAAGAAGAAGAUUGCCAUGUGGGCGUCGACCUGUCAAAACAAUGCCAAGUCAGCAUGAAAACUGCUUUUGUUGAGUCAAAGGACUAAACUAAUCUGGUUCAAAAAGUUUAGGGACCAAGUUAUGCCGGCUUUGGAGUCGAGGUACCAUUUCUAUACUUUCAAGAGAGUUUAGGGACGAAAAAUAUACUUUUCCCUUUUUUUAGGGUUAACUGACUUUGGCUUUCUGAUGACGACGCGGUUAGCAGUGUGAUUUGGUAUCGCGUUACGCGGUUCGGACGCCCAGGUCUCCUUAAUAGCUUGGUCAUGACAGCAAUCUUUCACAUAAAGACAACUGAUCAUCCCCUCAAACAAAAAAAAGAACAGCUGAUCAUCAUCAAAGAAAUAAAUAAAGACAACGUUGCGUGUUUUCACACUUCUGUAUGGCCGAGUCAAGUCAAACGUCGCGUGUUUCCUUAUGUUUCGUCCUGUCACCCGCAAUGCGCACCUGCUCUAAUUUGCUUAUAAUGUUUCCUCCUGUCAGCAGCAAGGCGCACCUACUCUAAUUUGCCUCGUCACAGUUCUGCUUCCUCGGCUGGUGGCUUCUUCUCACCAGCGAAGAGCAAAGGACGCCAUUGACUUCCUUCAAGCUUUCUCUCGAGGUUAGUGUUCUCUACCCAAUUUUGCUUAAUUGCUUGCUCUUUGUACCUGGCGAACCAUCACGAAAUGGUCCAGAUUUCCAGUGGUCGAUACACAUGUCGUUGGCGCGAUUUCCUCUUUGAAAAGAGAAAGUUUCAUAACUUCUUAUGAGAUCGAUCAACCAUGCACUAUGAUGUGUGAAUCAUGAUAGACAUAUGCACUCCUCGUCUUUGAAUGGAGGAUAUGUUCUGCGUCGGGAAGAAGAAGAAGAAGAACGCCCAGGCUAAUAUCCUCCUUUUCCCUCUCUGUAGCUCUCAAUUCUUGAAGCAGGAUCGCGGAUACGUCAGGCAAUUGAGUUUUGUUUAGUUGUUGCUGCUGCUGUGAGUCGAUUAUCUCCUGCUUCUUCUUCAUCCUUUCAUCUUCCUCCCUCAGCCUCUGCUCCAGCUUCCUCCAGCCACCGUGUUUUAAUGUUUUUCUUUACUUUUUGGUUUUCUCUUUUCAUUUUUCUACUUUCCUUUUUUUCAGCUUCGUGUUUUGUUCCUUUUUCGUCUGUGUCAAAUAAUUGCAUUUUCCCUUGUAGGAGUAUAUUUUUCUCUUUUUCCCACUUCUAUAUGAAAAUUUUCUUGAAGGAAACACAUACUAUGUUUUAUAAAGUAGUACUAGCUACAUGGAUAUUUAUUUUUGAAUAUGUGAUUUUUUUUAUGCUCGGCAGUUUUUGUAUGUUUUUUCCUCAUGGGGAAGUUUGUAUGUGAACAUGUCUUUUCAAAAUACAUGAACAUUACUUUUAUGCUUUUCAUUAUACAAAGUAAACAAUUUACAAGUGCUAUUUCCUUUCACACUCUUACAUUCCCUUCUCUACUAUCUGUUUCUGUUCUGUCACAAUCGAAGAUGAAGAAGUAUCCAGCUUAUAGAUUGACGAGUGCAAAUUUAUAGUCAGGCAUGUGAGGACUGAGGACGAGGCUAAUAGGCAGGAAUGGGUGCAGAAAUGUGAGGACUUUGUAAGUCUGUAUGUACGUCUUCAUUUAUUGUUANNNNNNNNNNNNNNNNNNNNNNNNNNNNNNNNNNNNNNNNNNNNNNNNNNNNNNNNNNNNNNNNNNNNNNNNNNNNNNNNNNNNNNNNNNNNNNNNNNNNNNNNNNNNNNNNNNNNNNNNNNNNNNNNNNNNNNNNNNNNNNNNNNNNNNNNNNNNNNNNNNNNNNNNNNNNNNNNNNNNNNNNNNNNNNNNNNNNNNNNNNNNNNNNNNNNNNNNNNNNNNNNNNNNNNNNNNNNNNNNNNNNNNNNNNNNNNNUGUUCUAAGUCAAUCUUAAUAAAAUUUGACCAAAAUUGUAAAGAAAAACAUCCAUAUGCCCAAUAUGUACAUAUAUAGAAGCAUAUAUAAUCCAUGUUCCUAGUUUAUAAAGAAUUCCCCCGCAAAAAAUGGUUUAUAGAGAAUAAUACCAAGUUUAUGCAGGAGUAUCUUCCUAUCCUAUAAUAGCUUAAUUAAUGUUUCACUAUCUCAUGCAGGUAACGGUAAACUUAAAAGACAGAGGUUGCAUGCAAUGUGCAUGUAUGCAUCACACGAGAUGGACAUCGUACGAGUGCCUACAUGUGUUGAGAUUGCAUUCAGAAGUGUGGACGUUAACCACAGAAAUAUGGCCUGAGGAACUAGAAGCUAUAUAAGAAAGGUACGUACGUAUUAUCCAUAUUGUAAGAAUUCAAAUCGAAUGAUAUAGUAGAUGUAAAAGCAUGUCUAACUGACAAUUAUUUACUCGGCUUAUACUAAUUUGCUGUACUAUUUGGUGUCUACUUCGUAGAAUGCUGAUAUGAAUUCAUGAUAAAUAGUGGUAGUACUGCACCUUGGCAGUAUAUGCCAAUCUCUUUCGGUCCCUUUAGACAUGUAAAAACUUAAAAACAUAUACACUCGAAAUAGGCUUUCACCUUGCUUUUUAAACAAAGCAACCACAACAACCAAACAACAACUACAAGUGCAAAAAAGAAAACAUAGGAACAUAGCCAUCUGUAAAAAAAGGCGAUACAAAACUCUUUGGAAGCAACAGAUCAAUGGUGAGGAGGCAAAGUGAGUUGUCCGCCUGACUUUAUAUGAUCAUCAACCAUACUGCCAGAAAUUUAACCACAAAGUCAAAAGCACGCUGCAAAAAGAUCUACUCGAUGGCAAUCUUGUUUUGUGUAGUCUAUAUGGUCAAGGUCAUGGCCGACAACACUAACUAGAAGAGGUGCAUCCUCCUACCAGUACGGUUGGCGUGAGCCUCCAGAAUUCACCCAUAUCUGGGGACUGCCACUCAGGUCCCAGAGCCUCAUGGACCCCUCAGAGAGAGAUAGGCCAUCGCCAGAGCCUUUCUGAUUUGUCACCUCCCCCGAGGAGAGGCGAUCUCGUAAGAGCUGCCACAUGAAAAUCCUUCUGUUAAGUGGAAAUAGUGUUUUCCAGAUGGGAAUGAUCCACACAAGAGUAGGUGUCGAGCGAACCGAGAAUAGCCCGUCGGGGACGAGGUGCCAGGAAGGACAAUCUCCAGUUUUGACAAGCAAAUGGUUGUGCAUCAGCAAUAUGUAUAAGUCAACAUGACCGCUGACCAUCACAAACACAUUGAGGAACAUCAAUUGUCAUAUACAUACAUCAGAAUGAAUUAGACACAGCAAAUAAGAUAACAUAUGCAUGACAUUUGACUGAAAGGGGCAAUUCAGACACUACGAAACUGACAUAACAUCGGAGUUACAGAAAUAGUCCACAUGUUUGUCCUUUUAGUCCCCAGAUGAAUAGAUUUCAAAUUUGUUUUGGUAACUCAAAACUGUGUUUUUUGUUUUGUCAUUUUUUGACAAAUCUGACUCUUACGGGAGCAAUGGAUCGAUCCAUUGUUCAUCCAAAAGCAUUCAUACUUGGUUCAAAUUGAAGUCUCAAUUUGGCUUGGUGUCAAAAACACUCGUCUCUAGACUGGAGGCAAGGAAAAUUCUACUUCCUGCUUGCGGUUGUGGUCCACUGCAUCUAUUUGGACGGAGUGGAUGCGGGUCUUGCGGUAUAGCAGCCAGGAGUAUACACCUAUUUGCACAGUUGUGGACACAAUGCCCAUUACAUUCGGUACCUGCACGCACAUAAUGAUAGCAAUGAGCAAGUGUAGCAUGCAUACAAUGGAGAUAUUAUUACCACAUUGAGUAAAUCAGAACAGAAGUCCGUUCGCAUAGGGAUCUUCGGUACGAUGAACUAUAUUAAUGGCACUGGGGAUAGAUAUUAGGUACCACAACGUAGGGGUUGACCGGGACGGUCAUGAAGCCGUAGGGGGCCCAAGUACAUGCACUUAAGAGGGAGAUGGCGGCCAUGAUUAGUGGGGUCUUGUCGUUGAUCUGCUUGAUCUUCAUGAUCACCAACAUCUGGUGUACAAAUACGAUCGGUUUCAAUCCACCAAUGAGAAAACGGACAAUAGAUUGAUAAAUCAUGCUAGGAAGUGCACUUCACAGGCCGUAGCUUGCACUUACCAGAUCAUAUGCUGGAACAAUUUGUGUAGAUGCUCCAAAUAUCGAAGCUAUGACAUCGACAAAAAUACUACUCCACCUAUGAGUGAUGAGCACCAUCGAGGCUACUAGUACUGCCGUUAUUAAGGCGAAGACCAAGAAUGCAGAAAGAAUGAAUAUGGCAUGCCGACGCUUGGUCCGUUCCGCAAACGUGAUGUAGAAGGUGGUGUAGGAAAAAUGAACGAGGAUUCCCAUUCCGCUGACGAUGAAGAGCAAGAGCUUGUUGGGGAGAUCCGUCGAGGCAUACAGUGUCCACAUCACACUGUUGAAGAAUGCCAAGACAUGUCCAUAUACCUUCCGAUCUCCUACAGACCCUUCCUCCCAAACAGGUAUCACCAUAGUGCACCUGCGCGAACAAGACAAAUGGAUGGCCACUUAGGUAGAAAAACACGAGUGACAGUGUUUUGUUGAAUUUUAUUAUAGCCGGAUGAUGAACUUUAGAAUAAUCAAAAAUAGCUAGGCUACAUGCAUUACUGAGGCUGAGGGCGUUCUACACUUUUCAGAAAAUGGUAAAAACCCACGAGGACAAACUUUUCACAAGUAUAUGGGGUCCAACACGUACCCAAAGGUCAGUGUGUAUUAGUACGGGUUUCUUGCACAUAGGAGUGCUGCGUUUUACUCCCUCACAUAGGGCAUCUCCAAUAGUAUCACUUUCUGGAUUAUUGGAGUUGUUACUUUGGAGUUCCCUAAUAUCCCGUAAGUCAGUUGUUCUUCUCUCUGUCUUUCUUUCACUAGUAGCGACUUCUGCUGGAACAACUAGUGUUGAACUUCGGGGCUAGGAAGGCGGCAGGCGAUGGCGGGUGGGAUGCGCUGGGAGGUGAACUCGGUUCGGGAUGCAUGUGAGCAAUGAACUCCAUCUGCAUGAUCAGGUGAGUACGGCCGUAAUAAGGCCCCACGUGCUCCGAAGAGGCGUGACCACGGAGUUCCACGACGAAUAUGUAGGCGAGUCUGACAGCGGAGCAACAUAGGGUAGUGGUGAGACUAGAAUGGCUAAAAAUGGGGCGGACAGGGUGGACGAAGCGGUACAAGCGGUGAGCUUCAACUACCAUGACUCCACGAGGCACUAGGACGCGUGGGAGUGGGGGUGGUAGGGGCGGUGGAAGUUCUUGCGGCACAAAAACAAUUGUUAGGGGAGUUGUAUUUCACCCUCUACAUGGGAGAGUUGGGUGGAGCCACCAAACACGCGAAGGCCAUGACUAGGGUCUAUAGAAGAACCUAGUCACACCGCCGCUAGAGGGGAAGCCGGCAAAGCCCGUGUGUGCCCUAGGGAAGGUUGCGGCAAUGCAUUUCAUGGUGCACGUGCGGUGGUGGGCCUUGGCUAACGGCUAAGCGCACUGCCGGCUUGGUGGCCCCAGUUCUUUCCUUCACUAUCGGUGGGGAUUGUGGAGGGUGAACAACACUAUGGAUGGAGCAGGAAUCACCAGUGGAUAGGUUUGAGUACGGGGAUGAUGCAUGGCUUCUAGCAGCAAGCGGAGGCACCGCCGUCAUGGGUCAGUAGUGUAGGUUCCUGAUGGAGGUGCUCAAUGUGGCGGUGGUUGGCUGGUUCGUGGACCUGACUGACGGAGGUCUUGAUGUGGUCGGUGCCAUCCUGUGGGUGGCGGCAUAGGACGCCCACUCGAGCUAUAGAUUGUAGUGGCCACCAAAAAUUCUUCAUGUGGUUUCUCUUCCCAGACCUAGUGGCUACCGUCGGUGACUCAUACUAGCGACUUUGCGAGAUGCAACCGAAGUGCUCCAUUUUUAUACUAUUGUGAGUUUUGGACAUAUUUUUGAACUCGUGCUCAUACUUGUUAUAGUACAUGUAAAUAUUUUUAUACCAUCAUGGGUUUUGGAGGCUCUCACUCUGGCUAGUUUGCGUUCGGAGAUGUGAUGCAAUCUAUCGACAACGGCAUGACAUUGAGGCUGUUGUGUAGCGGCGGCAGUCGGACUUCUUGCCCAACGCAUGUACAUGCUGGGAUCGAGGAAAAGUGGUAGCAACAACACAUGAUUGACAUUGAUUUGGUGGUGCUUCUCGAGUACCCGGUCUCGAGCUCCGGGGUGGAAAUCCUAGGUAUAACCCAAGUUGGUUAUACCUGUCAAUGGCGAUGUUUUUGUGUCUUUACCUUGUUGGAGGCAUUGCUCGGAUAUGGCAGACUUGUUCUUGACGGUGAAAACAUAGAAUCUGGCCUUUGAUGGUUGGAUCCGGUGUAGGUGACGCUCGAGCAUCGUUCCCUUCAUGUAGACAUUGCUAUUGAAGAACGUCAUUUUCCUUGUGGGUUCAACAGAUGGUUGGUGCAGCUAUGUUCAUUCUUGUAGUUUUUUUAUCAUUGUUUUGAAGUUUUUUCUCUUUUUCCUUGCUUAGGUAUAGCUUUGAUAUUGUAUGACUUUCCUAUUUAUCGGCAUGCUUAUUUGUGUGUGUGCAAUGGUGUUGGCUAUGUGCACACUAGCUAUGCAAAGGUCAGGCGUGUGCUCAUUGUGUUUACAUCAAUUGGAUGCUUCAUUUUUAGUGACUAAAAUUCACCCUUUUGUUGAAAACAUGGUGGAGUUGUGGAAAAAUGUUGGUGUUCACAAAAAACUAUGUCGAUUGAGGAUCCCAUUGCGGGGAUGCUAGAGUACCUAAAUCCCCAAUAGUGUCAUUAUUUUUUAGGAUGGGGGCUCUUACCAUGAUGAAUUUCUACAUGCUUAAAGAGGUCGUUGGCACGUAGCUUAAAAAUAAGUAGAUUCAAAUGUGUUAUGUCGAAAAGUUGUUGUGUUGGAGAAGUGGUUGUGAGCAAUGCAGCCGUUUGUUCGCAAACCAGUUGUGUGAGUUCUCAAUUGAGUGAAAAGUAUAAAAUACCUCCGAGACGCCAAGAGGCCGUUUAUGCAUCGAUUUAAUGAUAAUAACUUGAGUUAGCUGUGUUUCACUAAGUUUGAGUUAUUGUAUAUAUGCAUCGCUAUAGUACAAACAUGAUGUUUCAGUUACAUUCUCUCUAUAAUGCACAACCAAUCUUUCGAUCUACUAAAGGUGGUGGAAGACAAAGAAUAUAAGAUGGCGCUUGAAGGGAUAUGAUCUCGACGGGGAUGAAGGUGACUUGAUGGUUAUACCCAGGUUUGAGGCCACCAGAUGGUUUGGAACCCUACACCCCGCCUAUCUAUCUUCAUUGAUCAAUGAGAGAAUUAUAAUGUUGUAGAACUAAUCUUGGGAGCUCGGUUAUGGGCAUGUUGCUUCACACAUAUUAUUGUCUUUGACAUUGGCCCGCUUGUCCCUUAUAUAGGUAGAAAAAUGAAGGUAAUAUUGUAGCAAAUUUGGAAGGUUAUGAUAUGAUUGGGUGAUGCCACAGUUGCAAGUGUAUCUUUCACUACCACUACUACGGAACUGCUUACAUGUGGGGCCUCACUAGUGGUGGGCGGCCAUCUGCACCCGCCAUUGGUAAUUUGGGCACUUAUGAGUGGAGGGCGACAUUUUGUCCCACCACUUGUAUGCAAGUACCAAUGGUAGGCACCAUUUCCCACCCGCCACCGGUAACAUGGGCUCCGGCAAGCGGUGGGCCAAAUACACUAGUGAUAGGUGCAUAAUCGUGAGUGCCACUUGUCAAUCACAUACUAGUGGUAGGCAGGUAGCAAACAUCCGCCACUGGUAAUAUGGGCCCCUAUUUCAUCCACAAUAGUCAUGGUGGUCACGGGUACAUUUUUAGGUAUUUUUUAAUGGUUUAUGGUAUUUUGGGUUUUCAAUGUUUUAUGGUGUUGUAUGAAAAAUGUUUGAACUUUGUUGGUUCCAUUUGCUAUAUUUAGGCAUUAUAUGAAUAUAUUCGUAUUUAAUUUUGAAUAUAAUUCAAAUUUCAACUGAAUUACAUUAAAAAUUAAAACUGGGAAGAAAGGUAAUACUGAAGGUAGUUAGCUUAUGUUCGGUAUUAUGAAUCAAUUCCUUGGAAAUUCCAAACAUGAUGGAAAGUGCAAUCAUUUCUUGCAUUUCAAAAUACAUACUCAAGAACUAAAUAAUUCACUUUAAUUGCUUCCAAGCAUUUUUUGCAUCUGUGACCUGAAUACAUGCUCAGGAACUUGCACCAAUUUUUAGGCAUCGUUUAAUGUACGUGUAGUUCAAAUUAGUAUAACCAUAGCUAGAAAUGCACUAAAUGCCCUGAAAAUAUUCCCUCUAAUCUAGAACAUAAGGUGCAUCAAUUUUUGUUUAAUUCAAAUACAUGUAUGUUUAAAAAAAAUUAAAGAACAAAAUAUAAAUGUCCCAUAUAAUAAAUAAAUAAGUAAAUAUGAUAACACUUUCAUAAUGGACUUUAUAAAUAUUACAAGUGGAUUUUAUAUUAUAAUAACUAAAUAAAUAUGAUAAAAUUUUCAUAUUAUAGGUAUUACUUCGUUUUUUCUAAAAACUUGGCCAAGCAUGCAAAAGUUAGACUUUUGGAAAAACUAACAAACCUUAUAUUUUGGAAUGGAGGGAGCUAGUAUCAAACUAACCUAGAAAUGUGCCAAGUAUUUACAUGUAACUCGCUAUGGUGUAUCUUGAACAUAUAAAAAGUUUCAAUGGCCAGCUCUCCAUCAAACCUAAUACAAUCCCAUUGAAACUAUGAUUUUUCCCAUAGAUUCUCCACUUUCUUAGCGAAGUGCAUCAAAACUUCGCUGUGACUCAAUGUUUUGCCAGACCCUCUAGGUGCCAUAUCUUGACACCAUUCCAAGUUUUAUCUUUUUUGGACUUCAUUUACAUAAAAGAAACAACCAUUACCUCUAUUAACUAGCUUGAAAUUCAUUGAAUGCACUAAAAUAGCAAAUUUACCAAAAAAAGUGCUUAAGUUUUAUAAGGAGCUUCUAAUAUUGUAACUUGCACCCUGAAAAAUUGGACCCCAACUAUAACAAUAAAAGAGUAAACCAUUGGAAAAAGAGAAUCAAACUAAAAACUUUACCAAUCGCGAGCGCCUCGAAACACUCGCCACUCGAAAACUGUAGUAGUGGCGGGCAGGGGGCUACUCCACUAUUGAUUUCUUAGGAAUCCCGAAAGUCGAGGUUUUACCGGUAAGGUUUUUCGUUCUUCUGUUAUCUUGUUUAGUGCAUGUUUACAUCUGCAAUUGCAUGCUUUCCUUAAUAUUGUGUAUAUCAAAUUAUCUACCGGUCUCCUUUCUAGUACUUGCUCUAUCUAUGUAGGUUCUUGUUAUAAUACAUGGACAUAUUUUUAUACUAUUUUUUCUUAUUAUUAGCAUGAUUCACUCCUACGUAAAAAUGGUUAAGGAACCGUCGAUCAUUCAUAUUGGUGACUGGUCCCAUAUGGCCAUGUCCGGACAAUGUAUGAACAAUAUGCUAGAAAUGGGCGUACAUGUUUGAUCUAUGUUGUAUGUUUGUGUAUGGAUUUGAGGGUUUGGAUAUGAGGGGGAUGGCUGCGGAUGCAGAAAAAUGUGAGGCGGGUCGACGCUGUCCGCGGACAUGUCUGGGCGUGUCCACGGACGUAUAGGGCGUCAUAUUAUCUAUGUCUGGUUGGAGAUGCUCUUACGGUUAUAGCACUCGUGUUUCUAAUCAGUUGUAGAAUUUUGAUAGUUCAAUAGAAAGAUUGACAAUGACACCCUUAGGUUAUAGCUUCCAUAUAUUUGACUAAUGUCGAAAAUAUACUUUCAUAAGUAUGAUUUGUGUUGGUGGAUAGUUGAAUAUCAUGGUUGUUCUCGUUCGGAAUUGUGUGAGCCUAAUACUUCAUGGUUCAGGUGAUACUCAAAUUAGUGGGCAAGGUUUGUGAACCGGUUAGUCUGUACCCUCUUUCUGCAUGCUCUGUGAUCAAUUUGUUUUCUCGAUUUCUGGUGAUUCUUCUUUUGUUUUCUCUCUCAACUAGCCCCAUCAAUUCUUCUUUACAAUCAUAUGUACACUGCUUUGCCAGUACUUUUGUUCUUAAACUAAUUAGGGACCCAAUUCCACUACAUAACUUGCGCUAAGAUAUAAUAUAAAUUGCACUACUUCACCUCGUGCAAUUCUAAGAAUAUCAUUGUAUAUUUAGUUUUUCUACCUUAUAUAACACAUUGGUGUUUUCUUAGUUUGACACGACAUACAACUGUCAGGUAACUUCAGUUGGUAUGAAUGUGUCAAAUUUCCAAAUCCUAUAUACUCAAAUACUGUGAACUAUCUUUAUCUUUUUGCAAGUUAUGUGGAGCAUUUUGGUCAGUCUUCUAAAAUGAUCUAUAAAUGGAUAACAGGGGAGAGAUAAAUCAUCAACCUUUAUAUAAACAAGAUGAUGGUACCCAUUGAUCUUCUACAUAGUGCAAAUUAUUGCUAUGAAUAUGAUAUAUGAGCCUACUGUUCAUGUUUAUAUAAUAAAUGGCACAAAAAGUAUUCUAGCUUUUCUCCACAUCAUACCUGCUAACAUGGCAUGGAAUCUAGAAUUGAUAUAUAAACAUGUGCUUAUGUUAUUCAUUUCUUGUGGUUCUUUUGUUCACAAGUGAUUAUACCUUCUCCCAGUUGUACAGUGCAUUAAUACAAAGGACACCAAUUUUUAUGCAAGUUGCUUGGACAGAGGGAAAUCCAAUUACACCAAUACCAAUGAAUAAUUGCAGUUGCUUUUAUCUGAUUCUGCAAUAAUUAUUUGUGCUCUUUACUUUAGUUAUUAUCCAGCUAUUGCCAAAUUCAGUUUUCUAGAAAAGAUAAGAAUGGAGAUACUUUUAGCACAUAACCCACUAAAAAAAUACUACAUAUAUUACAAAUGCAAUUUGACUAUGUGCAAUGUGAAAAUGCACGAGCAAACUUUUUACGUACAUGCAACUAGCAUAUUAAAUAAACCCCGGCACAUGCGCGGCUUGAUUUUUCUACGUCCGUUUGAUAAAUUUAAGUUAGUUAUUAUUCUUUAUGUAUAAAUCGAUGUUGCUACUAGUCUAACCUAGUUAUGACAUCUCCACCCAUUGUGAUUCUCAAUAUGGAAAAAUCAACCAAAUAUGCAAACACAGACUUCUGAUCCCUGUCCACCAAUUCAUUUUGGAGAUAUUUACAUACAUAAUUAAAUCCGAACAAGAUAGCCUAGAUGUAAGUUAAUAGUCAGAUCCUCUACCUGCCUUAAAACAAGUUGUAUUGUAUAUAAUUAGUUAAAAUACUUUAAACAAAAUACAUAUAUUAUACAUCAGGGUUUAAAUUUAUUACAUGCAUACACGUUUUUGGUGUCGCGAGCACUUGUCUCCUGGACCACACAUGCAUCUCGUGACGUUCACCUCAACCAUGAAAGGUACUCCCUCUGUAAUAAAAUAUAAGACAUUUUUGCAUUUCAAUUUGAACUGCAAAAACAUCAUAUAUUUUGGUAUGGAGGGAGUACCUGAUUUUGUUUCUUCCUAGCUAACAACAGACAAGCUUGUAUCAACGGCUACCACUCCCAAUGCAAGGCUCUCUUGGUUCCGUUGAUGGCAAGCUAUGUGGCACCCCUCACCACUCAAGGCAAGUUAUCUUUUUCAUUGGCUAUAUAAUGGAUAUUACGAUGAAUGCAAUAGCAGAAAGUACUCAUACAAUGGGUGAAAUUAAGUCAACUUUUUGUCUGGACACUAGAUAUACUCAUUACAAAAGGUUCAUAUAAUUAACAUACAAUAACACAAGCUGCAUUCUGCUUGUAGGUGCAUAAAUGAACUUUAUUUCAGAGCAACCGGUUAACUUCCUAGAAUGGGGUAUUAUCUAUCCCGAUAAUACGACUUUCAUCGAAUACGGCUUUCUAUAGAAUCCUAUACUGAGCUAAUCUAGAAUACCUUUUAGUAAUAACUAGUCACAAUUAGGUUAAUCCUGUCUAAUACGUACUUGUAGACUACACCGAAUCGGUUAUGUCCUAGGGAGUUUUCUUUCUAUACAAACAUGUACACUGCUAAUGUAUAAUCAUCCCAGAUCAAAGCCAUCAAUUGUGUCUCGGUCUAUUCAUGUGUCCAUGAAAGAAUUGAUUUGUUUCACACGUGUACUUGUGCAGCCAUAAGAAUUGAUCAAGCUGAAAGGUUCCUGCCUCCAAGUAGCUGCGCUGGCGGUUAGAUAGCGGUAGCAUCUUCUCUUCAUCUUGUCUCCAAGUAGCGGCGUCGGCCACGCCACCAACUCCUCCAAGUCAAUGUUGAUGCCAUCCAUACCGUUGGCGCCGGCAAGUCAGCCACCAGGUGAGAGCAAUAUCUCUUCAUCCCUUCUCCAUGUAGCGGUGUCGGCCUCAUUCUAUUUCCUCCCCAGAUCCCCAUCUAUAUCGCCGCCGUGCUGCUCCUUGUCAUCGUCCGUGCCGCUGCUGAUGCCCAUCACCCCAACCUCCUCCUUGUCGUUCCUGUCAUCCAUCAUGGCCUUGUCUCCGUGCUCAUUUUGGGUGUGGUUUUUGUUGUCUGCAACUUCAGAUCGGCUGCAAAGAAUUUGUACUGCAUACUUGAGCUAAUCUGUGACAAGUUUGUGCUUUCAAUCUUUUAUAUAUAGCAAUUUAAGUUAAUUUUUCAGAUUACUGGACUUCCACUUGUGCUUUGGACACUGCUUAAACUUCAUCAGUGCUUGACCUCUGUAGUGAAUCUUUCAUGUUUUUGGUUCCAUUAGUCAAUCAAACACUAUGUAGUUAGUAAAUUGGCAAGCAUCAGUUAGUACAUCAGCAGCAUAUCCUCAAAAGAUUUGGACUGUCAUGUGAUUAGUUCCACAACAGUAUAAGUGUACAAUACACAAAUCUAGCCUCUUUAUUUGACACAGAAAUAUAAGCUAUCCAGCUAGACAUUCAUCAUCAUGUACAGGACAAAUAUUUGCCUAUUUGUCAUGUAAACAACUUUGGUUUGGUGCUUUAUGGAAAUUUGUUUCCUUCUCUGCUUUGGAGCAUCAUGUACAUGGCAAAGUUAUGUAAAUAUCUUUGGAGCAUCAUGUACAACAAGUUUGUUUCCUUAUAUAGUUUGGUGCUUGAUUAACUUAGUAUAUAAAAUAAAUAUAAAAAUGGAGCAUCAUAUGCAGCUUGCUAUGGUUCUUUCUUGCUUUCCUAUGUGCUCCUGCGAGGUAAGCUUGUUGUGGUUCUCAUAUGCUUCGCUGUUUAAUUAGGAGUGUUCUCUUUCCUUACAAAUUAGGAGUGUACAUGCCCUGAGCCUAGCUCUCAUGUGCUUCUUUUUUUAAUUAAGAGUGUUCCCUUUCGUUGAAAAUUGGGACUGUACAUGCAGACUAGCUAUCAUAUUCUUCUCUGUUUAUUUAGGAUCGCAAGGAAUGUAUCUAGCAUUGAAAUACGGCUAGAUACAUCCAUUUGAGGAACUGUUAAUAUGAGUCAAAGGGAGUAUUUGACAUUUCUAUGCAAAACGCCAUUUUCAAAUAUAGCACGCCCUUAACACAUUAUUACCUAUAUAGCAUCUAGAGAAGGGCGACGCUAAAUCUUGUAGCGCACUAUUUUUUCAUUUGCCCGAGCACUUGUUAUCCAAUGGUUGCUAAAAAUAUUCUAAUUUCUUUAGUGAGUAAGUUCUUGUCCUUUUCAUAUAGAUUUGUGUGUUGAAGUUGCAUUUUUUGUCUGUAUAUUUCGUAUGUUCUGUUGCAAGUAUCUCGCCUAAAGAGGUUAACUUUUUAGUCGUUGCAUUAUGUUGCUAUAUUGAAUGUAUUGCACUAUCCACUGGUUAUACUCUUUGCUUGAACUUGUAUUGGAAGCGACACCUUGAAAAACGAGUUGGAAGCUACUGUUGUUGUAGCCUUAUCACUGGCUCGUACAAAAUAAUGAAUGAUUCAACAUGUAAUGAGUUGCUUCUUUUGUAUUUCUGAAAGGUUGAAGCUCUAUAUAUUCAUCAUGUGGUAUUUCAUUAGUCUUGCUUCUGUUGCCUUGUGCUUGAACUGAUAAAAUUUUACUUAUAUUUCUGUAAAGGUUAGGUGGUGCAGGCCAAGGUUCCCAUGUCUGGAGAAAGUACAAGGGGUGUGCAACUUCAUGAUUAAAUGUCAUUCAGUUGAUUAAAAAUUGCAAUCAACAUUGGAACUAUUCGCACCAACACUGGUGCAAUUCUAGUAUUUGUAUGAUGCAAAUUUUCCCUAGGCAUAGUUCAUGUUUGACAUCUAGCACGUGUUGUUGCAUGUUACGCUAAUGUUCUUUUAGUAAGCGAUCCGACUUUAAUUAUCAAUUGAUUAUAAUGAGUCAUAUUAAAAGUACUAAAUAAAAAUAGAUACCAAAGAUCCCUGGUAACUAAAGGUUCUUCAACAAAGUUGUCUCUAGUUUCACUUUUUUGCAUCUUGACUUCCUAACAUGAUUUAGGUAAAAAAAAAGAAACCUUUGAAGACUAAAUCUACACAAUCCAGACUAACCUUGAAGGUUUUGAAAAUCCACUUGAGCUACCCCUCCUAUUAAGAGAGACCUAGUAUCAUUGAACCGUAAGUUACACAUCCCUUGCAAGGCAUGUCGUCGAAGCGCUAGAUUGUGUUUGUGGAUGAAGAAAACUAGUAGCACAAAAGAUUCAAAUGCAAGAACUCCCGAACAAAAACUCACUUGAUACCAUCAUCGACGCCGCCAUUUCCAAGAGUGGUCGAUAAUGAUGUGGAAGUGCUAGACAACAAUCCACAUGAAAUUACUGAGUCACGAGACCAAAAUAUGAUAUGCUCUCAUGUAUCGGCGGUUUAGGUUGCACUAGAUGUAAGAUAUAGCCAUAGGAUUUGCAACACCAUCACCAAGGCACACAAAUCUAAUAUAGUACAAAAUAAAACUGCACUUCAGAGUUGAUUCAUGGCUUACCGCCAUCACUAGGUGCCGCACGAGAGGCAGUCAGAGGGAAGAGGAACAAUCGAACAUGAGUGAAAAUGGAGGUUGUCUCCUCGGGUGGCUAGCUUAGCCUUAGUUUGAAGAUUUAUAUAACGGCUUGCCAGGGCCAUACAUGAAUGUAUGAGCACUUAACUGCAUUAAUUUGGAAGAAUAGGAUCUAGAAUCAAUGGUCAAGAUGAAAGGCAUCAAGUUUCAUAAAAUUCCGGCCACUUAGAGAUUAGAUGGGGGAACGCUGUUGCAGAUGCAGCACACGUUUAGGCCCAUGCUCGCUCUUGGGUCACUCCCAAGGGCAGCCCACCAUAAUUUAUUGGUAUUUCGCUAAAUACCCGUUAAUUUUGGCAAAGUGAUAAUAUAUAUUUUGUUGGCUAUCGUAAAUAGUAUAGUCGAGCCAUUAAUCAAAACAUGAAUAAUUGUGUAGAUGAGGUCUAUGGUUCUAUUCCUUCUCUCUAUAGUUUUCAUUUUGACGUCUUUAACCUAUAUUUCUAUAUUAUUCUGUUUAUAACCUUUCAUUCUUGUGUUGUUUUAUGUGUGUAUUGUACAUUGAUUGCCAUUUAUCUUAUUUCACUUCCAUGAUCAGUGAACACUAUUAUAUGUCAGUCAUAUUUUUGUUAUUUUCAUAGACUGCAAACAAAUGCUGAACUAUGUCUUUGUAAGAAAAACUCAUUUCCGACAAAAUGCGUAAUUAUUUUUUGCACAUUGCUACAGCAUUUAGCUGUAUAAAACUUAUUGAAAAUCUAGAAAUGUGUGUGUUGAUUUUUCGCCUAAGCGCUUCUUAUGUCAUGACGUCCAAACGCGUUCUUCGCUGAAGCUUUCCAUUUAGACGUCAGAUCGUCUUCGUUGUAUUUUUGAAUACUUGCGUCGUAUUCGGCCAAGCAUGUCCAAGGACGAGGCGUCCCGUGUUUGACUGACGCCCAACAAACAAAAAAAGCAUGGGCCAGGGACUCCCCGCCAAAAAAGAAGUUCAAAAAAAUGAGCCAGGGAGGGAGACGUGGCAGCAGGUGGCAUGGGAACGAAUGAAUGCUUGCUGCGCUGCAUGGGAACGGGGGUGGGGCAGCAAUACGCGGACGGGACGACGCUGCUUGCGGCUCGAAAUGGCGUAAAGAAAGACGGGGACGACGGGGCAUGCCGCUGGCGCCAUUGACGUGGUGGACGAGUCGCGAGCCCGCGAGGUUCCUUGCGCACCAGGCGUCCUGGGAUGUGCGUCUCGUACCCGGCCGCCGGCUGUACUUCUGCGUCGAUCGACCCCAUGCCGUGGCCGAGCGCGCAUAGUACAGCGAUCGGCCGCGCCUCGUCGGGCUCGAUCGGCCGCGUCCUGGCCGCAGGGCCUCGUCGGGCUCGAUCGGCCGCGUCCUGGCCGCAGGGCCUCGUCGGGCUCGAUCGGCCGCGGGGCAUGGGCACCUCUCUCUUUCCGGCAGGAAGGACGGGGAGGCGGGAGACUCGGCGCUUUGUGCUCCCGGCCGGAGAGAGGCCAUGACGAGGGGCCAGAGGAGGUUUGGGCGCCGGGCCACCGGACUAGCUAGCAUGAGGAUCUUUGGCUGUAUAACAGAAUUGUAUACGAGAGGAACUUAGAGAGACUUACACAGGAGCAAACAGCAGUAUGCCGGCGAUAACACUUCCGGCGACGUUGAUACCGGUGAGGGUGGACGACGCCGCGGACUGCAUGCUGCCCCCGGCGACCUUGCUCACGACGCGGACGGCGACCACCAUGGUGAACAUGGUGGAGACAAUCACCUAAACCAACUCAAGGGUAGCCUCGCUAAGGAAAGAGAGGAGGAAGAGAGGCCGGGUGUGGUCGAGUACGAGGCGACGAGUAUUUAUAUGUUGUCUGAUGAGUAGUAGCGCACGGGCCGGCGGGACCGUUGGAAGUUGUAUUUUAACACUACGUUGAACUUUCUUCAGUUGUCUUGUCGGAACUAAAGACGUCGCUUUGGCUUUCACCUAUCCCACAAUGCAUGCAAAUAAAAAUAAAAUUAGUCAUGUCAUCACAUUAAUUCAUAAAAACAUAAAUUAUCGGUAGGCUUUUGCUAAUCCUCAUCCAGUUGAUUCCGUGGAUCAGCGCUGUGGUCCCUGAUUUUAGGUAAUACCAAUGCCCUACAUUCAUUCUGUCUCAGAAUAAUUUUUGUUUUUUAAUUAUUAUGUCUUUUCUUUUUAGGAUAUUUUUUCGUCCUUAGAUUUUUCACUUCUAUUUUUGCAUGCAACGACAAAUUUCUUGCCGCGAUCGUGUAAACCUACUUAGUUUUUUAAUAGGAUUUUGAAUAGAAUUAUCUUUUGUAAUUCAUCUAAUUAAAUUAAAGUUAUAUCAGUAUAUGUUUGGUCUUGCAUAUUGAGAAAUAGUAAAAUUUCUAUGAAAUCAAUUACAAAUUUUUGUUAGUAUUAGUUUUAUCUUUAUUUUCUUUCUUCUUUUAGGUAAUACCAAUGCCCUACAUCCAUUCUAUCUCAAAAAUAAUAUAUUUUUUAAUUGUUAUUUCUUUUCUUUUUAGGAGUUUUUUUGGUCAUUAGAUUUUCACCUGUAUUUUUGCAUGAUCAAGGAUUUCCUCGGGGAUGUGAAAUUCAUCGAGUCCAAGGCUUAAACCUUACUCGGAUUCUGGAUAGUAAUCAGGAUCCUUAGGGUCGUCAUCGUCCCUGUUUGGCAUGGUGCCAUCAAUAGGACCGUUGUCGGCGUUGUCGCCUACGUUAUGAUCUCUAGCAUCACUUGGAGUGUCACCAUUGCCGGUGAAAUCCUCGAUCGUAGCGGCUAGGUGGGUGAUGUCUACUACACAACUUUAUCCUUGUAGACUCUGUUGGGCCUCCAAGCGCAGAGUUUUGUAUUAUAGCGGCAAAUUUCCCUCGAGUGGAUGACCUAAGGUUUAUCAGUCCAUGGGAUGUAUAGGAUGAAGAUGGUCUCUUUCAAACAACCCUGCAAUCAAAUACAUGCAUCUUGUGUCCCCAACACACGCAAUACAAUGGUAAAUUGUAUAUGUGCACUAGUUCGGUGAAGAGAUGGUGAUACAAGUGUAGUAUGAAUAAUAGAUAUAGGUUUAUGUAAUCUGAAAUAAUAAAAACAGCAAGGUAGCAAGUAAUAAAAGUAAGCACAAACGGUAUUGUAAAGCUUGAAAACAAGGCAUAGGGUUCAUACUUUCACUAGUCCAAUCUCUCAACAGUGCUAACAUAAUUGAAUCAUAUAACAAUCCCUCAACAUGCGACAAAGAAUCACUUCAAAGUUCUUAUCAAUAGCGGAGAACAUAAGAUGAAAUUGUUGUAGGUAGCUAACCACCUCAAAGUUAUCUUUCCGAUCAAUCUAUUAAGCCACCAAUAUAAGUGUCACAAACAGCCCUAGAGUUUGUACUACAAUAACACCAUAUGAUACGCAUCAAUCAACUCUAAUGUCACCUAGAUACUCCAAUGUCACCACAAGUAUCCAUGAGUCAAUUAUUUGAUAUGCAUCAAACAAUUUCAGAUUCAUAAUAUUUAAUCCAACACAAAGAACUUCAAAUAUUACCCCAAAGUUUCUAUAGGAUAAAGUAGGAUGAAAACCUAUGUGCCUAGAUUGCCCCAAUGUCACCUCGGGAAUCCACAAGUUGAUUACCAAAACAUACAUCAAGUGACUCAAUAGAAUACUCCAUUGUCACCACGGGUAUCCACAUGCAAGACAUACAUCAAGUGAUCUCAAAUCAAAAAUAUUCAAUCCAAUAACAAUGAAACCUCAAAGGGCAAGACUCAAUUCAUCACAACAGACAUGGAGAAGGAAGAACACCAUAUGAUCCGACUAUAUUAACAAAGCUUAUGGUAUAUCAAGAUCGUGCCAAAUCAAGAUCACGCGAGAGAGAUCAAACACAUAGCUACGGGUACAUACCCUCCGCUCCGAGGGUGAACUAAUCCCUCCUCAUCAUGGAGACCGUCGGGAUGAUGAAAAGGGCCUCCGGUGAUGGUUUCCCCCUCCGGAGAAGGCCUCUAGAUGAGAUCGAUUCGGAACAGAGGCUUGCGAAGGCGGCGUAAAAGAUCAAGGUUUCUUUCUGGGAGUUUCUGGAUUUACAAGAUUUUUCAGCAUGGAAUCACGCCAAUCGGACUUACGAGGGCCCCACAUGCUCGGACGGCACUCCUUACCCCCUAGGGCGUGCGGGGUGAGCUUGUGGCCUCCUCAUGGGUCUUGUGGUCCUUCAUCCAAGCUUUGGGGGGCUCUUAAAGUCACCGUAAAUUUUUAUCGGGUUUGGACCUCGUUUGGUAUGUUUUUCUCUGAAACAUAGAAAUAGACAAAAUAAACAGGUUGCACUAGGCACUAAGUUAAUAGGUUAGUUCAUAAAAAUCAUAGAAAAGUGCACCAAAACUAUAUACAACUCAUGUAAACAUGGCAUGAAUACUUUAUAAAUUAUAGAUACGUUGGAGACGUACCAGUGGGUGGAGGGUGGGUUUGAAAUCCCUACUUCUCAUGAUUUUUCCCAAAUCCGAUUGUAAACUGAGUUUCGAUCAUUCGAGAUUAACAAGUUUUGCAUCCGAUCCAAUAUCUCGUUCAAGAGAGCGAUGUCGGCCUCGCCCAUGUCCUGACGGUGGGCGGGGCUUAUCUGGAGUUUGCCUGAAGGAUAGCCUGAUGUGGCUUCAGGGGUUUUGGUGGUUGGAUUCGAGAUCCAAUCCGAAGAGUUUAUAAUCGGAUCCGCUCUCGGGGUCGGAGCCACGGAAAUCAUGAUCGGAGCUUCGCUCGAAGUCCGAUACGAUUGGAUAACGCUUGGGUUCGUGCUCAAGGCCAGGCCCGAGGUGUUGGCGCCUCUGUUACCCUGCUCUGAGGUUGAUUCGGCGCCGGGGCGGCGGCAUCGAUGACAUCACCGGCGUCGGCCUGGUCUGACACCCAGCCCGAAAAGACAAGCUCUCCACGGAUGUCCGUGAUGUACUCUAGAUUGAUAAAUUGUUUAGUCUGGCCUGAAAUGAGGUGCUCGACUUGGCCGAGGUGGCCAGUCGAGUCGUCGUGUAGCACGAAGCUGCCGAAAGCGAAAAGUUUGCCGGGAAAGAAGCCCUUCCCACAACCAAUAUCGUCGUUAAUCCGAACAUGUGCCAUCGAGUUCAUGUGACCGCGGGUGGAGCCUUGACCGAUACGUGGCUACCGUGGGUCUUCCCCGCGGGUGGAGCUUAUGUGUCAUACUCCGAGACCUUUCUUGAGUUUACUAAAGAGAACCCUACUUUCAUAGAUUGCGACGUUUAACAAUCAGACUCAUAUAGAUGCAUUUUUCAAAAGAUGUUCUGCAGGACAACAUCUCUGCUUCAAAGAGCCACUUAGAACACAUUAAGAUAUACAUCAACCUGCCAUGCAGAUUAGGAGAGUAUUGCAUCUUCAUGGAGUGGUAUUUUAACAGUAAGGGUACUCUCCUCUCAGUUGACCAACAGCUUGUCUUCCACAUCUAAUUCACGGGAUCUCUGAUCACAAAGAAUAGGUUACCACUGUGAACAACUCAUAUUGUGGGUCUCGUACCCAUCUCCCUCGAUGCAUUAUCUAUAACAUUAUGUGAUAGACCCUUAGUGAAAGGAUCUGCCAGAUUUUUAGACGUUUGGAUAUAAUCCAAUGCAAUAACUCCGGAGUUUCUCAUUUUCUGACAGACUUUAACCUUCUCUGAACGUGUCUUGAUGACUUCAUAUUAUCCUUUGAGCUGUUCACUUUCGUGAUCACAGUUUGAUUGUCGCAGUUCAUAAGAAUACCCGGUAUAGGUUUCUCAACAACCGGCAAGUCAUUCAAGAGCCGGCGAAGCCAAUCUGCUUCGACCGUAGUUGUAUCUAGUGUUGUGAGUUCUGCUUCCAUUGUUGACCUCGUUAAGAUGGUCUGCUUGCUAGACUUCCACGAAACAUCGCCACCUCCAUAAGUGAAUACAUAUCCGCUCAUGGCCUUUAUCUCAUCAACAUCUGAGAUCCAGUUUGAGUCACUAUACCCUUCAAGCACCUUUGGGUGCCCAGUGUAGUGAAUUCCAUAAUUCGCAGUGCCUUUCAAAUAACGCAAGACUCUCUCUAGAGCUUUCCAAUGCACAUCUCCUGGUUUUGAGACAAACCGGCUCAGUUUGCUAACAACAAAAGAGAUGUAAGGUCUUGUAGCACUGGCUAAGUACAUAAGCGAGCCAAUAAUCUGAGAAUAUUUCAAUUGGUCUCUAGCAAUUCUUCGAUUCUUUCGAAGCAACACACUAGCAUCAUAUGGUGUUGGAGAGGGCUUGCAGUCACUAUAGCCAAAGCGACUCAAGAUCUUUUCCACAUAAUGAGAUUGAAGCAAUGUAAUCCCACCAUCAUCGUCUCUCAACAACUUGAUGUUCAGAAUGACAUCAACCACUCCUAAAUCCUUCAUGUCAAAACAGCAAGAUAGGAAAUCCUUGACCUCCUUAAUAAUAUUCAGAUUUGUUCCGAAAAUCAGUAUGUCAUCAACAUACAAGCAAAGCAUAACUUCCUCGCCCCCGCCAUGGUGAUAGUACACACAUUUGUUAGCUUCGUUCACAACAAAUCCUGCAGCUAUUAAAGUUCUUUUGAACUUCUCAUGCCACUGUUUGGGUGCUUGCUUGAGUCCAUACAAAGACUUCAGCAACUUACACACUUUCCCUUCCUGGCCAUCUAUUACAAACCCAUCUGGUUGUUCCAUAUAAAUUUCCUCGUCCAACUCUCCAUUUAUGAAAGCAGUCUUAACAUCCAUUUAAUGAACGAGAAGACCAUGUGAGGCAGCUAGUGAAAGUAGAAUUCGAAUAGUGGUCAGUCGAGCCACGGGUGAAUAAGUAUCAAAGAAGUCUUCACCUUCCUUUUGAGUAUAACCCUUAGCCACGAGCCGAGCCUUGUACUUUGCAAUAGUACCAUCAGGCCUAAGCUUCUUCUUGAAUACCCAUUUGCAUCCUAUAGGUUUGCACCCAUAAGGACGAUCAGUUAUCUCCCAAGUUUCAUUCGCCAAGAUGGAAUCCAUCUCGCUACGAACUUCUUCCUUCCAGUAGUCAGCAUCUUCAGAUGCAUAGGCCUCUGAAAUAGAACUGGGAGUGUCAUCUAUGAGAUACACAAGAAAAUCAUCACCAAAGGACUUUGCAGUCCUCUAUCUCUUGCUCCUAGUAGGAACUUCCAUUGUUCUCCUCCACAGGACUUUCAAAGUGUUCCAUCGAAAUGGCAGGUUCAGUAAUUAUAACUGGUUCCUGAUUCGAUGAACUAGGCAUCUCGUGAUUAGAUGAGGUAGCCAUAUCCUUCAUGGGAAAUAUAUCUUCAAAGAAAGUCGCAUCAUUCGACUCCAUGAUCGUACCGACAUGCAUGUCAGGCACCUCAGAUUUUACAACCAAGAAUCUACAACCAAUGCUAUGAAAAUCAUAUCCCAGGAAAACACAAUCCACAGUUUUUGGUCCCAGCUCCCGCUUCUUUGGAAUUGGCACAUUGACUUUCGCCAAACAACCCCAUGUUCGUAGAUAAGAAAGCUUUAACAUUUUCUUCUCCCAUUCCUUGAAUGGAGUUAUCUCUUUGUUCUUUGUGGGAACUCGGUUUAGAACAUGACAUGCAGUCAAUAUCGUCUCCCCCCACCAUGCCUUGGAGAGACCCGAUGUGUCUAACAUGGCGUUAACCAAAUCAGUUAGAGUACGGUUCUUUCUUUCGGCCACCCCAUUUGACUGAGGUGAAUAGGGAGCCGUCCUCUCAUGGAUUAUACCAUGUUCCGCACAAAAGGAAUCAAAUUCAUUUGAGAAAUACUCUCCACCACGGUCGGACCUAAGCCUCUUGAUUUUCCGAUCAUGUUGGUUUUCCACUUCAGCUUUAUAGAUCUUGAAAAAGUUCAAAGCCUCAUCCUUAGAUUUCAGAAGAUACACAUGGCAGUAUCUAGUGGAGUCGUCAAUUAAAGUCAUGAAAUAUUUCUUUCCACCUUUUGUCAAAACAUCAUUCAUUUCACAUAGAUCUGAAUGUAUGAGUUCUAGUGGUGCAAGAUUUCUCGUUUCCGCAGUCACAUGAGACUUACGAGGUUGCUUAGCUUGCACACACACUUGACACUUAGAUCCCUUGACAGUGGUGAAACUAGGGAUUAAGUUUAACUUUGCUAACCGUGUCAUGCAACCAAAGUUAACAUGACAAAGACGUGAAUGCCACACAUUUGAUUCACUAUUGUUGCAAACAUGAUUAACAACUUUAUUGCAAACGUCUGGCAAGGAUAAACGAAACAGGCCUCCUGACUAAUAGCCUUUACCGACAAAGGUUCCAUACUUGGAUAUUACAAAUUUAUUCGACUCAAAGACAAGCUUGUAGUCAUCUCUACAUAGAAGAGAUCUGCUAACAAGAUUUUUAUUUACGGAGGGGACAUAAUGCACGUUCUUCAGCCGCACGAUCUUUCCCGAAGUAAACUUCAGAUCGACCGUGCCAACACCAUGAACAGAAGCACUUGAACCGUUUCCCAUCAACACGGUUGAAGUCCCUGUGGUCUGAUAAGACGAAAACAUGAAAGUAUCACCGCAUACAUGCACAUUAGCACCCGUGUCAAUCAACCAAUCAGGAGAAUGACAUACUGAAAGAAUAGUGGGAAAUAUACCAUACCCAGCAUCCUUCAUGUUAAUGUCUUCAAUGACAAUAUUAGUGGUCUUGCCACCUUUCCCAGGAUGACGCUUGUCAUAACGAUUAGGGCAACUUGGAGCCCAAUGAUCAGGAUGUCCACACACAUGACAAAAACCUUUCUUCUUGUCAUUCUUCUUCUUGAAGUUCGUGUGCUGCAUAGCCUUGUAUUUUCCAUCAAACUUUGUUUUACCAUCAAACUUGCCCUUGUUCUUGAACUUGUGGGGCUGGAAGUUCUUCUUCUGUACCAGAUUGGCACUAGAACCUUCCUCAAUACCUCGAGCACGGUUGUCCUUUGCUCUCUCCUUUUCUUCCACAUCAAGAGUACCAAUGAGAUCCGAAACGGAAAACUCCUGCCUCUUAUGCUUCAGUGAGGUAGCAAAGUUCCUCCACGUGGGAGGAAGCUUAGUGAUGAUACCUCCAGCAAUAAACUUGUCCGGUAGGAUACAAUUGAAGUGCUCAAAUUCUCUAGCAAAUGACUGUAUCUCAUGAGCUUGCUCAACCACGGAGCGCUCUUCAGUCAUUCUGUAGUCAUAGAAUUGCUCCAUAAUGUACAACUCAGUGCCAGCAUCCGAGACCCCAAACUUGGCCUCGAGUGCGUCCCACAUAUCUUUUUCAUUAUCAAUUGAUGCAUAAGCAUCAACUAUGUUCUCACCAUAAACAAGGUAUCCAUUUUCUGAAAAGCUUGUGCCUCUCUUAUCCAGUAUCCACUAUCCUCCCACUUCACUGGCUGACCCACGCACUCCUUGCCUCCAUUUCCUCCCCAAAUCCGGCCGCCGCCUUUCCGUCACUAGCGACCGAGCCGCCACACCAGCGUACGUGCCGCUGUCCCCGCACCAGCGAAGAAGCCACCGUCCCCGCAUUAGCGACCGAGCCGCCGCCCCGCCUCCUCCCCAGCUCCUACAGGGCGUCGCCGCGGGCUCGACGAGGAGAUGUAGAACCAAGCUCGAGCGCCGCGACUACGGUGGAGCCGACCAGCAAGGCUGGGUUUCGGGGAAUGGGGGAGGAGGCAGAGGAAGCCACUGGGAUAUGGUCCAACCGAAGCCCGCGACCCAAGCACCUCAAUGGGAGCUCGUGGUGGCAGCGGCGAAGAGGAGGCGCGGUGGAGGAGCUGCGGGUGCUUAUGGUGACCUCCGGUAAGGGACGUCGCGCACGGUGGUGGUCGAUGCCGUGGCUGCACGAGCGUCUCCGGGCGGCGCCUUGGGCAGCAGGCUCCAGCGUCGUGGGCGGAGGAGUUGCAGAACUCGAUUUCGUAGCACCAUGCGCGGGUGAACGCGUUCCGCCUCACCGUGGACGGCGGGCUCUAGCGCCGGCCAAGGAUAGCAACACGUCGUUGUCGAGGUAGCUUUGUCUCUGUAGAACAUCCUGUUUUGAAUGCAGAAUCACUGCCGCUGCCAUGAACAAACUCGUGCUCCUGGACUUGAUGCAUCAAGUCCUGUGUUUUUGUCUGAAUUUUUAUAUGUGCUCUGACGUUAGGGAUUAUGGGAUAUUUUACUCAGCAAGUUGUAGGCAGAUUUAUGCAUUGCUAUCUAUCUUUAGGCUCUAUGGACGUGCUUUUCAUGUUGUUGCCUGAAAGUUUCACCAAAUUCCAUUACAUAGCAUUGGUGACAGAUUGAUAUACGUGAGCCUCAUAAUGCUCCCGUUGACAACCCAAGACCCAAGUGACUAAAGCUUUGCUUGUUUCAUGGCGCAAGCUGGGGUAUAGUGUCAUUAUGUCUAGUAGUUCUUAUUUAGAAACGAGAGUUUCUCAAACAUGUGUACCAGUAGUACUACCCAGGUCAUGUUGCCUGUAAAUGAUCUGGUGCUGUUUCUUUACAGAGUAUAUGUGGUCUGACUGUGGUCAGAGAUCAUGGCAAUUGUUAUACUUUAUCGAUGGCAAUUCUUUAACUUAUAUUUCUGUUUUAACAAAACGCCAUGGCAAUUUUUAAUAUGCAUAUGAUAUGUCAUUUUUGUUCACAAUUUGUAGCCAUGACCCUCAUGGCAAGUUUCAUCUUUGUCCUUGUUCAUAAACAAUGGCAAUUACUCUAUAUGACAACAUUCAUGUGAUUUGACAUGGCACUUUUUUUUCUAAAAACAUGGCAAACUUGCCAUGACAACUUUUCCAAACAUGAUAAACUUAUAGAUGUUCAAAAACAUGACAGCUUAACAUGUUCAAAAACAUAGCAAACUUGCCAUGGCAAACCUAAGAUUUUUUUUAGCAAAUGUGUUAACGGGGCAUGGCAAAAAUGCUUCCAUUCACAGCCAAAAGUGGGAUUUUUCUACGUUUUUCUAGCCAUGGCAACUUUACUUUUAAUGACAUGGAAAAUUGUACUUCAUUUUUUAAAUGGAAAUUUAUUGUAUAGAGCAUGGCAAAUUUUAAUUUUAAAUACGAUAGCAAAUUUUACAUUUCCAGAACAUGACAAAUUUUAAAAUGUAGCAUGGCAAAUAUACUUAUGUAGCCAUGGCAAUUUUUAAUUUAUUUUCCAUGGCAAAAUUAUUCUAUUUUUUCCAUGGCAAUUUUAACUUUCUAGAAUGCCAACAAAAUAGAUUUAUUGCCAUGGAAAUUUCGAGCUUCAUUUUGCCAUGCAUUUUUUUUGCCAUGUUUAAUUUUCCUUUACAUCUCCAUGGCAAAAAAAAACCUAACAUUCAUGGCAAAUUUUUACUUUAUUUGCCAUGUCAAAUUUACCAUUUUUUUGUGCCAAAAUAAAGGAAAUUCAUGGAGCAUGGCAAAUUUAGCUUUCUACUUUGCCAUGUCAACUUUUACUUUAUUUUCGCCAUGGCAAUUUUGUACCUUCAAUGCCAUGGCAAUUUUACGUUUAAAUACUUGGCAAAUUUAAUAUUUUGCAUACAUGGAAAAUUUUACUCUAUUAUUCCCAUGUCAGAAUUUUACUUUAUUUUUCCAUGGCAAAAUUUUAAUUUUGUUGCCAUGGCAACUUUACUUUUAAAUACAUGGCAAUUUCAGUUGAAUGUACAUGACAAUUUUUACUAUACUUUGCCAUGUCAAAUUUUUAUGUUACUUUUUUUGCCAUUGUAAAAUUUUGCUUUCAUUGCCAUGGCAAUUUUAUCUUUAAAUACUUGCAAAUUUACUAUUUACAUACAUGGGAAAUUUUACUCAAUUUUUGUCAUGUUAGAAUUUUACUUUAAUUUGCUAUGGCAUAAUUUGAACUUCAUUGACAUGGCAACUUCACUUUUAAAUAAAUGGCAAUUUCACUUGAACAUACAUGCCAUUUUGUAAUCCACUUUGUCGUGUCAAAGUAAAAAUUGGAAGUACAACUUUUACUCUACUUCGGCAAAUUUGCCUUGUCUCAACUUUUUGCCAUGGCAAUUUUUUACUCUACUUUGCGUUGUGUCAACUUUACUUGUCUGGACAAUGUGCAAAACCUUGUUGAAAAAAAACCUUUUUUUCUAAAAAAACCUUAAUUACAAGUAAAAAAAUUAUUCUAGGUUUUCCAUGAUACAUAUAACCGUUUCCACAAAAGUGUGCCAUGGCCCAUGGCAUACUACCAUGGCAAUUUUCUCCUGUGUAUAUUUGUGUUUCAAAUUUUUUUUCCAUGGCAAAGUUAUGUUAUAUUCUAUGGCAAGUUGAUCUAGUUUUACUAUGGUUUAAUUUUAAUUUUUUGUCAUGGCAAUUUCUCCAUGUUUUUACAUUUUCUGGCUGUAUGUAAUUAAAACACCAUGGCAAUUUUUCCUGUAUAAAGUUUUCUUCGUAAAUUCCAUACAAAGCAUGGCAAUUUUAAUUAAAACAUCAUGGCAAAUAUAUUUUUUAAGCAUGGCAAAUUUGUAUUGUUUUUGUACCUUGCGGUUCUUUAUUCUCGGCAACAAAAUUUUUGAAAUUUUUUCGACCUUCGAAAACUUUGAAUUGUUUUCAUCGAACUUUUUGUUCUAAGACUCACACUAACUGGUUCUUUAUAUUCUCACAUAGCAGGAAUUUUGAUGUUUUUAUUAUAAAAGAAAUGACAAUUUUUUUGUUUUUUAAGAUCUGUUUUUUAGGCCCUUUUACUUACGUCAUGGUGAUGGAAGGGGCCGAAAGGGUUCGGGCUAGCGUUCCACCACACCGAGCGACAAAAUCGUUCGUAUCGUUCCUCCAUGCCGAAACUUUCCGUCCGAUCUGGGCUCUGCUAGACCAAACAAUCGUGCGUUAUGCCAUGGCAAGUUUUACUAUUUAUUUUGCAUUGGCAAAUUCUAAAUCAUUAUGAUGAUAUAUGUAAAUUUAGUUUAAAAUACCAUGAAUUUGUUUGCUAUGAAUCUGCCAUGGCAAAUUAUUUUGCAGUUUUUGUUCAAAUAUAUUAUUUUUUACCCAUGGCAAUUUUCUCCAUUUGAAAGUUGAUGCAUUUUUGUACUUAACAAAGCAAAAAAACUGGGAUUUUUUUGUCAUAACAAAAAAACUGGGCUUUUUCUUCUUUUUUUUCUACUAGGCUUUUUGUUAUCAAUUCUGGGUUGUUAGGGGUUGGGGAGGCCUUCUCGUUGGAGGGCUUCUCCUCCCGAACGAAAUCGUUCCGGGAGGAUGAGGCAUCGUACUGAAUGAUACGUUCGGUCUGGAUUGUCUCCGGACCGAACGAUCGGGAGUUAUCGAGGUCCAUUAUUAAACCCAGUCAGAUACAAGUAGCACCCCACGAAGAUAGAAAAAUACAACGAAGUCCCUAAGGAACUACAAAACCGCUGGAUCUGCCGGAAUGAGUCGAGGACGCGCCGCCGUUGUCGCCGCUCUGCUUGUUCGCUGGCGAAUAUCCAUGGCAGACGGGGAGUCUCCGUACUUAAACCGCGGUACAGUUGCAGUGCUCCGAGGCCGAGUAGGGGCUGCCAUGGCCAGCAGCAGUGAGGUGUGAGCCGCAAGUGAGGUCGAGCCGGGUACGAGUCGAAGCGGGAGAAGUGUGGGUAGGCGGCUUUUAGUAUUUGAUUGCCGCUUCGAUUAGCCCGAGGCCGAAGGCAAGGCCAAACACUAAACAAGAUGAAGCUCGAGACGAUGCGGCUCAUGCGCAAGUUUUCUUAGAAGUUCACGAACAAUUUUUGACUUCUGUGAAACAUUUCUAAAAGGAUCAUAAACAUUGUUUUGAAUUCAUGAACAAAACUUUCAAUUCUUGAAUACUAGUUGAAUGCAUGAACUUUUUUUCCAAGCAUUUUUUAUGAAAGCGUGAAUAUUUUUUGAAUAUGCGAACAAUUUUUAAAAAUUGAUGAAUAUUUUUUAAUACUUAUAUAUAGUAAUGGAAAGGAAGAAAUAAGGGCGGAAAAGAACCCCCAGGGAUCAAAUCCAGGUUCCUACGGUGCGGGCUAGUUCAUCUAGCCACUGCACGACGCUCGUGUUCACCUUAUAAAGGAAUACGCGAACUACUUGAUGGAGAACACCGAGGGUUUUCUGUUUUUUCCUCUUUUUUGCUUUUUGUUGGUUUUUUAUUUAUUCCCUGGUUUUCUCUUUUUUUGUCUUUUUUCCUUUCUCCGGGCUUUUUCAUUUCUUCAAAAUUUUCAAUUUUUUGUUUCUAUUAUAUAUUUUUUCAUUUUCACUAUACAUUUCGUAUAUGUCAAAACAUGUUUUUACUAAGUGACCAACAUUUUUUGUAUACACGUUCAACAUUUUCCGAAUGCUUAUAAAAUAUUUCUCAAAUACUUGUUUAACAUUUUAAACCUAUUCAAUUUUUUAAUACUUAGUCAACAAUUUUAAAAUAAUCAUUCAUUUUCCAAAUGAUCGUUCAACAUUUUUUAAUACUUAUUCAACAUUUUUAGAAUACUUGUUUAACAUUUUUUAAUACUUAUUCAACAUUUUUAGAAUACUUUUUAAACAUUUUUAAUACUUAUUUAAAAAAGUUAAAUACUUAGUCAACAUUUUUCAAAUACUUGUUCAACAUUUCUUUAAUACUUAUUGAACAUUUUUCAAAUAAUUGUUCUAUUUUUUUAAUGAUUUUUAAAGGUUUUUAAUAUAUAUGUAGAAUAUUCUAAAACAUAAAUAAAUGUACAAAAUAAAUAAAGAAACAAGAAUUGAAAACAGUAAACAAAAAAAACAGGCCAUUGGCUCCCGCGCGGCUGGGCCGGCUCAUCUGGGCUCCCACCGAUGCGAGGCGUCCCCAUGUGCUCGCUUAAAGCGAGAAAUAUGGGUGCCCCUCGGAGCUCCUAAGUGGCGCCUUCAGCGCCACUUGGAGGAAAGGGUGCUCAGACGCCCCUAUUUGUGGGCUAGCCCAUCUGAGGCGGGCGCUUCAUCGGUUCCCCUGCUCGAUCGCUUCAACAACUCCCCUCCCUCCUGAUGGCUCGAGGCCACAAAGUUGUGGACCAGCCCCUGAAAAAAAGUCAUGUUCGACCAUUGGUCAACCGUUGACUUUUUAAAAAUAUGGUCUAUUUUUUUAGUAAAAAUUAAUUAAUUCUAAAAAAUUAAUGUAUUUUGCAAUCUUUUAACAAACUUCGAAAAAGUGCAUUGAAUUUUAAAAAAUGUUCAUUGAACUUGAAAAAAAGUUCAUCGAAUUUCUAAAAAGUCCAUCGUUUUUAAAGUCCAUCAAAUUUGAAGAAUAGUUCAUCAAUUUUGAAAAAAAAAGUUCAUCAAUUUCGAAAAAAGUUCAUUGAAUUUGAACAAAGUUCAUCAGUUUUUUUAAACUUUAUCAGAUAUGCAAAAAGUUCAUCGAUUUUGAAAUCGGUGUAUUGUUCUCAACUGAAUCGAAAAGAACGACAUGCUCUAGAUGAUGUGACGCGUACUAAAUCCUCACAACAUUAACAUCAGUUGUGGAAUGCCAUUUGAAAGCUCAAUUGUAUCCCAAAGGUUAGAUUGUUUCGGUGCGAGUUAUUCGAGGAAUAAUUCCUGGUGAGUUAACCUUGAGGCGGCGCCACAUCAAAGACGUGAGCCGGUUGAGGGAGUCCUGAAUUAGGGGGUCCUCGGGCUGCUGGCCUAACUCUUAUGGGCCGGACAGUUGGGCCACACCGCAGUUGCUGGAAGACCGGACUACUGUACAACUUCGUAUCCUGACAUGAGGCUUUUUGGUGCCUUGGUGUGUCCUCCAAGUCAAGAUGGAAAGAAUCGGCAUGUUUGUCCUCCCCUUGUAACCGACCAUGUGUAACAUUAGUACCCCUGGUGUCUAUAUAAAUCUGAGGGGUUUAGUCCAUAGAGGCAGAACAACAACCAUCAACCUACCAGUUUAGGAUUUAGACAUUUAGUUCAUCUGAUUUUGUGGUAGAUCGACUCUGUAAUCCUCAUAUACACAAGCAAUAUAAUCAAGCAAGACAUAGGGUUUUACCUCUUCGAGAGGGCCCGAACCUGGGUAAACAUCGUGUCCCUAGUCCCCUGUUCCCCAUCGAUCCAAGAUGCACAGCUUGAGACCCCCUACCCGAGAUCCGCCAGUUUUGACAGCGACGUUGCUGGUUUCAUUGAGAGUUCCACAUUUGGAUUGUUGAAGGAUCGAUGGCUCGCCUCAUCGUUGGAGAAGGAAUCAACACCGGGGACAUCUUCGUCCUCAGUCAGCUUUUCGCGUUCGGCAGCAUCAUUUUGCACGCCAACACAGCCAACCAUCUUGACCGAGUAGAUAACUUUGCCCCGGAGUGUCAGAUCAGGUUCGGCAUCCUAGAGUACGUCGCUGACACUCGGGGCAAUUUGAUAUUCACCGGUCUCUCUGCUUUGCCCGAGACGCUCGAAGUCCCGGAAGCAUCGGCUUUGGGACCAUUUUCCAAUCCGAUCGCAAGAUCGUCCCUUACCUCGCACUCCGCUCCGAGCCCGGAUGCGACCUUUGUGUUCGAAGACUAGGAGUCAACCCUGGCCGGACUAUUCUCCCCACUCCGGAUCCAGCUUUGAGUUGUGAUGUAUCUUCGACGCACAAAGACUGGGGGCCGGUCCCGCGGGUCAACACCGAAUAUUCGAGGAGUAUGGACCCUAUAGAUCUUUCAUCAUUAAACAGUCUGCUAGACCGGAUUCGCACCAUGGGAAUCUCCAACGGCCAGACCGCGGUUUAUGACCAGAUCGGGCUCAAGCCCGAUAACAGGGAAAUUUUCACCCCACCUAUCACGCACCUUGUCGCCACCAUUGAGGAAUUGACUGAAGGCUCGCAGUCGCCAAAACUGAAAAUGAACUAUGUUCCGAUUGGCAACGACCUCGCUCAGGCUUCAAGCCAGGAAUAUGACUUUCGCCCCGAAGAAAGCUCAGGACUAGACCUCGAUUCGAAACGUGAUCUCAAAUCUGCGCCGCAUUGCCUGAACAGUUCAGAAUCUGCACUCGGCGCACCGGAUAUACCAGAGACGCCCAACACCGCCGCUAAAAUUCUGGAUAAGCCACCAUCCGAGGCGUGCAGCUUUUUCCCAGCCACCCUCCAUGUGGAAUAUUCCGUGGACUCAGAAAUCCUGAAGUAUGGGAUUUAAUGUACAUUAAGCAGCUGCCCGAAGAAACAGUCCAUCAUUACUGGGCUAGAUUCCUCCUGGUUAAAAACAAAAUGAUGGAUUGUUAUGGCCAAGAAACAAUAGCAGCCUUUCGGGUCAAUUGCCGGGACAAAGGAGUCUUGAACGCCCUCGCCCGUCGCCAUGUGCGAAGCUUUACCGAAUUAUCGGACCUGGUACGCAAAUAUUGCGCCAUGGGAAGCACCUAGAAGGCACAACAAAUGCGUAUGGAAUUAACCUAUGCCGACAAAUCUCGAAAAGCUCAGGCAAAACGCUCAUACGCACUGCGGUCGCCCGAACCUGAGCCCAACGAAAAGAAGAAUAGGUCCCUUGCCGGACCCCCACUAUUAGGAAAAAACCUAGUAGUAGCGCGGGUGCCCGCGCUAUGCGCUACUACUAACUAUCUGUAGCGCGUGUCUGUGACCCGCGCUACUACUAUUAAUUUCAAAAACCAAAAAAAAUCUCGACCCCGUGCGUGCUGUCAAUGGUGUCAAUGGUUCGAUCCAGCGACGACAAGGGUCGCCGGAGGUCCGGACGGGCAGCGGAGACCAGAUCCAGCGACGGCUGUUGUAGAGGGACCUGAUCCAAUGCAGAGGAGAGCAAGACGACGGUGUGAGGGUCCUCUUCACGGGCAAGGCAGAGAGCUCCCCGUUAGCCAUGUCGACGACCUGCGCAAGCAUGGGCAUGAGAGGUGAGUAAAAUCGGAGGGACAUGGAGAGGGAAAAGGAGAACCAAGGAAGAAAUGAAUGAGAUGGAGGGCGCACCGGUGCUUGUCGCCGGUGGUGAGGUGGUCCGACGUGGUGGCAUGGAGAUGCGGGGAUGACUGGCGAGCUCUGGGACGCUGGCGGCACGAGGUGGCCUCACUCUUUUGGCGCAUUGAGGAGGAGGCACGCGACCUGAGGAGGUGAACUCGUUGGGCGCCAUGGAGGAGGAGGUGUGCAUCACCAUGGGAGAGCCUAUGGAGAGAGAGGAGGAGAGUGAGGGAGUGUCGGUGUCAAAAUCGGAAGAUCUCGGGUAGGGGGUCCCGAACUGUGCGUCUAAGGCUAAUGGUAACAUGAGGCGGGGGACACGAUGUUUACCCAGGUUCGGGCCCUCUCUAUGGAGGUAAUACACUACUUCCUGCUUGAUUGAUCUUGAUGAUAUGAGUAUUACAAGAGUUGAUCUACCACGAGAUUUUAGAGGCUAACCCUAGAAGCUAGCCUAUGAUUAUGAUUGUUGUUCUUGUCCUACGGACUAAACCCUCUGGUUUAUAUAGAAACCGCAGGGGGCUAGGGUUACACAGAGUCGGUUACAGAGAAGGGAAUCUACAUAUCCGAAUUACCAAGCUUGCCUUCCACGCAAAGGAGAGUCCCACCCGGACACGGGACGAAGUCUUCAAUCUUGUAUCUUCAUAGUCCAACAGUCCGGCAUAAGCAUAUAGUCCGGCUGUCCGAGGACCCCCUAAUCCAGGAAUCCCUCAGUAGCCCCUGAACCAGGCUUCAAUGACGAUGAGUCCGGCGUGCAGAUUGUCUUCGGCAUUGCAAGGUGGGUUCCUUCUCCGAAUACUCCAAAGUAGAUCUUGAACACAAGAAUCGUAUCCGGCUCUGCAAAACAAAUUCCACAUACCACCAUGGAGAGUACAAUAUUCCACGAGUCUAAUAUGUUGAUAGCUUUUCCAUAGCGUGACAUCACGCCAUGGCCCGGUCAUUAUUCGAACCAUUUUUUCAACCUGCUACUACACAUUUUGCGAGGCAGUUUUAUUGGCACGUCUUGUCGAAGCAGAGAUCGUGUCCCCUUAUCACGGGAUUCUCAUCAAUAUGGGUGUGGGUAACCCAACCGUUCCAUUAGUAUGACUCCUUGGAUUAGGCAAGUUCCAAACGGCCACGCGGAGGACGCUUGAUAUUCAUCUCCUUUAUAAAGAGGUCAAGACAUGUCUCUUUCUUUCCACGCUUGAUCCUUCCCUUCCCCCACCUUGAGUUCCAAUCACUAGUAGAAAAAGGGUCAAUUGUCCCGGUUCGUAAGGGCCUUUUGUCCCGGUUUAGGAACCGGGACUAAAAGGUCGUUACUAAUGCCCUUGACCUUUAGUCCCGGUUCUUACACAAACCGGGACAGAUGGGCCUCCACGUGGCCGGUGCAGCGAGCCCAGGCAGGAGGCCCUUUGGUCCCGGUUGGUGGAACCAACUGGGGCCAAUAGGCAUCCACGCGUCUGCAUUUCAGGUGCUGGGAUUUUUGUUUUUUUUUGAAGGGGAGGUUAGGGGGUUUUGGGGGGGUUAAUUUAGGUGUUUCUUAUAUUGUGUUAGCUAGCUAAUUAAUAGAGAGAAGUGUCCUUUCUUAUCUCCGUGCUUGGUCGACGCUACGUACUAUACGUAUAGAGAGGACUAGACACGCUAGCUAGUAAGCAAAUGAAGGAAACAAAAGAUCGUCAUGAACAUAUGCAUACAAAGAGAAGUGAUAUCGACCACCUCUCCUUCUCCGAGAGAUUGGUCGAACAACAAGUUCUCGUAUAUCUAUCCGAUGCUACUGGCUACAUAUAUACAAUAUAAUUAUCUCUUACAACAUAAUCUCCUAAUUAAAAACCAACUGAUUAGGGUCCACAUGGUAUUCUCCGUCUUUAGCGAUCACGUGAUCAAGAAAGAAUGCCGCCAAUUCCUCUUGAAUUCCUCGCAUACGAUCUGGUGGUAGCAGUUCAUCCCGCAUCUGAAAUAUCUAAUUUGAAGAAAGGGGUCAAUACAUAUAUAUAUGAAUAAAUGAAACUGAGCACGUAUGAUGGUAAUAAAAUAAAAUUGUGAAUAUUAUUAUUUACGCACUUCAUAUUGUUUGUCAGAGUAGCCCCGCUCAUAGGUCGUGUGGCGGAUGGACUCGCAAAUGUAGUAUCCACAAUAAGUAUUCCCUUGUUCCUGCCACAACCACUUUACAAGAAAUAGAGAUCAAUUAAACUGAUAAUUAGCAAGCAUGCUAAAUGGUAUUGAUGAAACUAGCGCUUGAAUCACUAGGAGAUGCGUGGAACAUGCUACUAUACUACUUACUUUCGGGUGUCUAAAUUGCAGCUUCUUCGGCAGUCCCGGAGUUUUUGAGGUGAAUUUUUUCCAAACCCUGCCAGACAUAUAAAACAAUUACUUGAUAUCAGGAAAUGAACAAAUUGAAGUCGCCGAUAUGGUGGGAUAAUGAUUGAUUUAACUUACUUCUCUAGAAUUUCAGUCAUGUCCGCAUACUCCUGGGAUCUUUUUGUAGGGUAACGCAGCAGAAAACAAAAAAUUUCCAACCUAAGCACCAGCCCAGGACCACUAUGAAGACUGCAUACAUGGUUUGAUCUUUUUCGUUACCGACUCGUAGCGCAGUGGGAAGUAGAGUCGAUGACGAUCGGCGGUGCAGAUCCCCGCAGCUAGAAUUUACAACCUCCCAACCACGAGGGUGUAUACCCUCAUCUGCUCCUCAGACAGCCCUCCGGGAGGCGGUCGAACAGCCCCCCGGACCGUGUCGCGGACAGCCCUUCGGGAGGACCUUCGAAACUCGAACGGUCACACGGACAGACCUUUGGGAGGCACUCACGAACUAAGACCGAAACUACGAUCUCUCUACAGAGUUGCACACAUACGGUGUCAUCUAUCCGGCAGGGCUUCGCCGUCCAGAACUAGUUCCUGCCGGAACCCAGACAGCGUUUCGGCUCUACGAAACUAUUUCGCUGGGAGGGAGAGAAGAAGCCAGAUCAUUGCAUGGCACUUGUAUGAGAGCAAAGGGAUGAGUGUGGAGGGCUUCCCUCCACCUCUAUUUAUAGGAAAUCCCAAGGGGUAGGGUAGUUUAACACAAAAACCCAAAAUGCACAUGAAUGAAGUCCUUCCUCAAGGGCAUAAGAGUGAAACCGAGGAACAAGAGGGGCUCCAAGGUGGAGCCCCCAGUGUGGCCGGCCACACCCCUUGGGGCCCCCCAUGAGGGCCUCCCAAUCCAUCUAUGUCAUCCCUAGAUCUUUUGAGUAAAGCCCCAAAAGGUGGCUUUCCAUAAAAUAUCCCAAAAAUCACUUUCACUAUUCAUGACAACAUUUUUCAGCGUCCGUUCGAACUAAAAAUAUUUAUGUGAGCUUAGAACAUUUCCAAUACCCACCAUAAUAAUUUUCAACGUGUUCUGGAACAAUUCCAUUUUAGUGAUUUUCAUCUGCGAAACGCAUCUGAAGUGGCUUUGGCAGCUCCGGAACAUUUCCGGUUUUUAUCUCAGAAAAUUCCAAAAAGCUUCCAGAAUGAUUCUGGCACCCUCCAAGAAUUAUCAGGCAUGUGCCGAAACCAAUUUGACUUAAUGGUAUAUCCCGAAACAACUUUUCGGUAUGAUCGAAACUUAUCCGAUGACCUCUCUCUGCGGUACGAUUCCGCUGUCCGAAACUUUUUUUCGGUGAUUUUCUCACAGACUCCCUGUCUAGUAUUCAGCAGAUAGAUGACCCUUAAGUGUGUGACACUAUAGGUUCGGUGAAGUAUAGACAUGACCCGGAACCCCUUCCGAUCAAUGAUCAACAUCGGAGCCGUGGACACCUAUAUUGACCCCUAUACCCACACGAAUGAAUAUUUGAGUGAACCUCCGGUUGCCGUGUGCUAUUCUUUUUGAUUCGCGAGAUGUUACAAAGACCCGAGGUGAGAUUUACUUGCAUCCCCGUGGAUCAACAACUUGUCCACUAUGCUAGUUACCUCGUUACUGAUUUUGUUCUAUUUUCUCGUUUCCGUGUUCCGGCAUCCCUGUGAUAAAAUCACACUAUGUCUGGCCAGACGAUGAUGGAUACCGUAACACCGAGAGGGCCCGAGAAUAUCUCUCCAUUGUCGGAGGAGCAAAUCCCAAUCUUGAGCUAUCAAGUUACUUGACACACUUUUCCAUGAACCCGUAAGCCGCCGUAAUAGCCACCCAUUUACGGAUGACGUUUAACAAACCCCAAAGUUCAUGAAGCAAGCAUGAAGAAACUCGAUACUCUCAUGGUCUAAGGAAUCAUACAAACAUUAACCAUCUCUGUGUUAUUUACCAUUAACUUGUGACGAAUGAAUCUCAUAGCAUAACAUCAAACCGGGUCGAUUCAACACAAAUAUUCUCUUAACAUUGUGCUCUCAAAGUUGCUGGCAUAGACAUGCCCAUGAUCAGGAAAACGGAACCAUCAUGCAACACUUGAGCUAGUCUUAGAGGCCAAACUAGGGAUACUUCUUACCGUUUAUUAUUCCACACGUGCAUAUGAGUCUUCCUUCGAGCCUCGUGGAUAUUGCCGACUCAAGAAUCAUUGCAGUUAUAGCAUGGAACAUAAACAUAAUUAUGAACUUGCAAAUAAAUAAUAUCAUUUAUUAUUGCCUCUAGGGUAUAUCUCCUACACUUUUCGUCUCGAGUCUAAGACGGUUACUAGUCCCUGCUCAAGCUUAAUCUCUAGGAGAAUAUAGUGGAAGCUGCGCACGCAUGCAUAACUCAUCAAUUACAUUACUAUAACCUCGAGUAAUAAGAGAAACCGAAUAUGCACAAGACAAUAACAUUCACUGGAAUUCGUAAGGGAAGAGUAUUAUAGCUUUGUUUUGAUUUAAUACAAAUGAUUGUAGCAGCUUGGCCUCGGUAUCUUUGGCCUGAAAUUCAACCAUAUAUGCAUCUAUGAGAUUUGUGUUAAUGAACCCAAUAUCACCGAUUUGUCUUUUCUUCAAUUUGGCGAUCUUUAAUGAAGAUAAUAUAGUGAGGAUAAUUAAAAAUAUAUGCAAUGAAAGAGCUGACCUAUAUAAAGAGACUUAAUGACAGAAGUAGUACUACUUACAGGCAGUAGCAAGUGAUCAUUAAUUUAUCGAGGGCCUUUAGAUUGAAAAACGCGAAGAACUCCUCAAAUGGAACAUUCAACAGUUCAAUUCCAACAAGGUCAUGCUCCUCUCUAACUCUCAGCGUCAAAAUAUUCCUCCCUUCAGACUCUUUGCAGGUUUUCAUGUACCAAUCAUGGAAUCUUCACAUCAUCGUUGUUAGAGAUAUUUCAUCUUUGACGAGAGGCUUCCCGUACACAUAUUUGUGUUCGUCCACCUCCAAGAAAUCAUAAUGUACAUCGUCGGGCAGGUAAUCUUCAAGAUUGUUAUAACCGGGCACCAUCCCGCCCGAAUGAUUAGCGACGAUAUCGCUAGACACCUCAAGCGGGGGGAACGAUUGGUUCGCUUGUUCACCGAGCUGGGCAACUUUUUUCCCAGCUCGUCGUUCUGCUAACCUUUGACCACUGACAGUACUUCCCGACCGCUCCGCUUCGAUAAAUGAAUUUUUAAGAAUGCGUUCAUAGUUGCCUUUCACCGGAGAAUUUGGUGGUUUCUUCAGGGCAGCCAGAGUACGCUUUGCUUUUACCGGAUCUAUCUUCCCCUCCGGAGGUGGAUGUUUCUUUGCUUUCACCCCUUCAAAGAAGUUGUUCACUUCGGCUUGCACGAUCUUCGUGUUUUCCUCCUGGUUCCUCUCGUAUGGUAACUUCUCUGGAGUCUUUAGAGAAGGACUGAAUCUGUAUUGCCUACCUAUGGCUGUACUGCUAGACGCCGGAGCAAACGAGCGGCUGUGGCUGUCUUUCCUUUCUUACAGGCGGAGGAGAAGGACGACGCGCCGGAGCGGCGGUGGGUCUCUUCUGCCCUUGUUGACAAGGCGGAGAAGGAGGAGGCUGACUGCUCGGGCGCGCCGGCGCAGGUGGAGAAGGAGGCAGAGUGCCGCCAUGCACCGGAGAAGGAGGUUGAGUGCCCUGAUCACUCGCCAGAGGAGGAGGCGUAGUGCCCUGACUCGCUAGAGGAGGAGGAGGAGGCGGAGGCGUCCAGUUCGAAAGGUUGAUGAGCUCCUUCCGCCAUAGGCAUGGAGUCUUCAUAGAAGAACCCAGCCGAAUCUCCCCUUCACCCGUAGGGUGGUCAAGCUGAAGGUCCUCAAAUCCGUCCGUUAUUUGAUCCACCAUCACCCUAGCAUAUCCUUCUGGAAUCGAUCGACCGUGCUAGGUUGUGCCAGGUUCAGUAGGUAAAAAAGAGCCAAUAGCCUCCUUGACUUUCAAUGUCAUCCACCGCGUCAUAAGGUGGCAAUGUUGAGACUCCGUGAUAGCAUCCAUGGGGUAGCUAGCAGGAGCCGUGAAGACAGGCUCCAGCUGCUGAGUCUGCUCGGUGGAAGCCACGCUGCUUCUUCGCUGAGAUGGCGGGGUAGCUUCAGGGGAAGCUUUGGCAGGUCGUUUGCUGCGAUCUGCUUCUUGUUCCUCUAGCCCUUGUACCCUUUCGUGCAGUGCAUGCAGUUGGCUAUGCUCCACUUUCUUCCUCCUCUCCUAGCAUUUGUAACCCCCUGCGUCCGGAAACCCAACCUUCCACGGAACGGAGCCUGGCGUGCCUCGUGAACGUCCAAGGUGCUCAGGAUUCCCGAGGGCCAUUGUGAGCUCGUCCUUCUCUCUGUCUGGAACGAACGUCCCUUGCUACGCUUUCUUGAUAUACUCCUGAAGCCUCGUGACGGGUAUUCGCAGUUGCUCUUCCGUCCAAACGCACUUCCCUGAUACAGGGUCCAAGGUUCCGCCAACCCCGAAGAACCAAGUCCGGCAACGGUCUGGCCAGUUCAAUGUCUCUGGUUUGACCCCUUUAGCAAUCAGGUCAUUCUCAGCCUUGUCCCACAAAGGUCGGGCUUUGAGGUAGCCACCUGACCCCGUGCGAUGGCGAUGCUUCUUCUUUGCAGCAUUUUUCUUGUUUAUCGUUGACAUCUUCUUACUCUUUUUCGAUGUCUUGUGGGCCACAAAUGUGGGCCAGUGAUCUCUGUUCCUCUCAAACCGGCCGGUGAAUUCUGGUGUAAUUUCUUUGUCGACAUACGUUUUCAGCUCAUUCUACCACCUCCUGAAUAGUUCUGCCAUCUUCUUAAGAGCAUGAGACUUGAUCAAUUGCUCUAUAACUGGCUUCUCCGGAUCCUCCUCUGGCGGUAGGGUGAAAUUUGCCUUAAGCAUUGUCCAAAGAUCUUCUUUCUGCAUAUCAGAGACAUAAGACACCUCAGGGUCUUCAUUCUUAGGCUUUAACCAUUGCUGGAUACUGAUCGGGAUCUUGUCCCUAACAAGAACCCCGCACUGAUUAGCAAAUGCUUCCUUUGUCCGGUAUGGUUCAAUCGGCUUGCCAUCGCGCAUGAUUGCUGUGAUCUCAAACCUUUCGUCCGAGCGCAACUUUUUCUUCGGGCCUCAUCUCUUUACCGUAGUUGUGCUCGAUUCGGAGGGCUAGAAAAAAGAAGAAAGACGAGAGUUAAUUAAUAUGUGUACAUACGAAAACAAUGAAUGCAUCAAUUAGCUAGUCAGCACAGGAUUAACUAAUAUAUAUACCUGGCCGGACUCGGUUCGGUCACCGGAGCCGUCAUCACGGUCUCCUUCUUGUACCGGCAUUGGGUCACCGGAGCCAUCAUAAUCAUAGUCUUCUUCUUGUACCGGCAUUAAUGGGUCAUCAGAGCCAUCAUAAUCAUAGCCUUCUUCUUCACUACCCUGUCCUUCCAGACCAUCAGUGCCGUUGAGAAACGAUGCAACGACAUCACUUCCUUUUGUGAUUAUGUCCCCCAACAUCGCUUCUGUUGCUUCGUCUCAGGGGUGCUCCAUAGUUUCUGCAAAUAUUUACAACAUGGCAAUUAUUAUUCAAACAUGGCAGAUGGAUAUAUUAGUGGCAAACAUAGAACCAGCUAGCUAAUCACAAUAAGGAAUCAUAUUAGUGGCCUCGACGCUGCUUCUCUAGGGUUUGGGGUGGCCUCGGCAACGCUUCAAGGGUUUGGGGUGGCCUCGACAACGCUUCAAGGGUUUGGGGUGGCCUCGACAACAACGCUCUUUUAACUUGGUAAAUUUGGGUGGCCUCGAGAGAGUUUGUCGGGUAGGGGCACGGUGGGAGGGGGUAGGAGACCAACAUCGUUUUUUUCCAGGGUUUGGGUGUCCUCNNNNNNNNNNNNNNNNNNNNNNNNNNNNNNNNNNNNNNNNNNNNNNNNNNNNNNNNNNNNNNNNNNNNNNNNNNNNNNNNNNNNNNNNNNNNNNNNNNNNNNNNNNNNNNNNNNNNNNNNNNNNNNNNNNNNNNNNNNNNNNNNNNNNNNNNNNNNNNNNNNNNNNNNNNNNNNNNNNNNNNNNNNNNNNNNNNNNNNNNNNNNNNNNNNNNNNNNNNNNNNNNNNNNNNNNNNNNNNNNNNNNNNNNNNNNNNNNNNNNNNNNNNNNNNNNNNNNNNNNNNNNNNNNNNNNNNNNNNNNNNNNNNNNNNNNNNNNNNNNNNNNNNNNNNNNNNNNNNNNNNNNNNNNNNNNNNNNNNNNNNNNNNNNNNNNNNNNNNNNNNNNNNNNNNNNNNNNNNNNNNNNNNNNNNNNNNNNNNNNNNNNNNNNNNNNNNNNNNNNNNNNNNNNNNNNNNNNNNNNNNNNNNNNNNNNNNNNNNNNNNNNNNNNNNNNNNNNNNNNNNNNNNNNNNNNNNNNNNNNNNNNNNNNNNNNNNNNNNNNNNNNNNNNNNNNNNNNNNNNNNNNNNNNNNNNNNNNNNNNNNNNNNNNNNNNNNNNNNNNNNNNNNNNNNNNNNNNNNNNNNNNNNNNNNNNNNNNNNNNNNNNNNNNNNNNNNNNNNNNNNNNNNNNNNNNNNNNNNNNNNNNNNNNNNNNNNNNNNNNNNNNNNNNNNNNNNNNNNNNNNNNNNNNNNNNNNNNNNNNNNNNNNNNNNNNNNNNNNNNNNNNNNNNNNNNNNNNNNNNNNNNNNNNNNNNNNNNNNNNNNNNNNNNNNNNNNNNNNNNNNNNNNNNNNNNNNNNNNNNNNNNNNNNNNNNNNNNNNNNNNNNNNNNNNNNNNNNNNNNNNNNNNNNNNNNNNNNNNNNNNNNNNNNNNNNNNNNNNNNNNNNNNNNNNNNNNNNNNNNNNNNNNNNNNNNNNNNNNNNNNNNNNNNNNNNNNCACCAACCAGAACCAAAGGCCACUGUGCUGCCCGCGUAGCGGCCAAAGUUUAGUCCCACCUUACUAGCUGAAGAGGGGUCGCACCUGUUUUUAAGCGCAACUCUGCCCACCCAUUUGAACUCCUCACUAUUGCAGGCCUGUUGGGCUAAACUUGUGUCUCUGCCUGUGGGCCUGCUGGGCCGUCCGCGGGCCUAAAUCCUGGCCCAAUAGGGUUUCUAGUCGUAUUCAGGCCGUGGUGGCCUAAUAGGUGGCAAUUUUUUUUAUUUUUUCCCAGUUUUUUGUUUUCUUUUUUGCUUUAUUUAUUUUGUUUUAUUUUAUUUUAUUUGUUUUGUUUAUAAUUACGUAUUUUUUUAUGAUAAUUAUUUUUUCUACUCCGUCCGUCUAGGUGAGUAAGUCAUCUUAGGUUGUGCACCGUGACCAAGGAGGAGGAGAAAACGAGAGAACUUAAUGUUCAUUUGCUAAUUAAUAGCAUUGCAUGCAAUGAACUAACCACUGCAUGUCGUGUUUGGUAGUCUCAUGUCAUUAAAAGUAUGCACACCCCACAUCUCUUAUUGGUUGAUAUGUCAAGAAAUAAGAAACAAGGUAGAAUUUAAUGCACCGCGCCUUAGUGUUUUGGGAUUAUUUGGUUUUCGUAAGAUGACUUACACACCUAGACGGAGGGAGUAUUAAAGUUUCUAACAAAAAAGUUCUUUAUGAAAAUUAUUUUUGCUUUUCAUGAUUUUGAACAAAAAAUACUUUGAUAAUUUUAGUUUCAUAAUUUAUUUAUGUUAUUAAAGUUUAUUGUAUUUUAUUUUGUUUUGUUUCUGCUUAUAUAUUUUUAUUAUAGUUUAUAUUAUUUUGUUUCAAAUUACUUAUUUAUUUUAUUUUAUGAUAAUUAUUUUUGAUAUUAUAGUUUUUCUGUGUUCAAAAUGCACCAUUCAAAGCCACAUCAUCAAUUUACAACCUUUUCUGACUUCAUUUGUUAUUUUUCAUGCAUUUACUGAUUAUUUUGAGCUAUAAGACCAUGAAAUUGAAAAGCAUUUGAAAUAAACUCUGAAAAGUUUCCAAGUUGGCAUGGGAUCAUUAUUUCACCCACAUAGCAUGUGCGAGAAAGUAGAGAGGGUUACGGCAAAAACUGGAUGCACUUCGUGUACAAAACGGACAAUCUCUUUCGAAGUAUCAGGGUUUCAUACGGAAACUCAUCUGUUACAAAGGGAUUUCAUUUUUUUGAACUUAUUUGAACUCCGUAGUUUUUCUGUGUUCAAAAUGCACCAUUCAAAGCCACAUCAUCAAUUUACAACCUUUAUAGUGCAUUGUAUCAUAUAUAUUAGUAUCAUAGGUGGUCUCAUUUAUUGCCAUGCAUGACACAUAGUAGCAUCACAUUUAUUAUGUUACGGUAUCUACUUAUGUUACUAUAAUCAUCUCUCUCUUCUUUAAUUGCCUGCCACGUAAGCAUGUUUGCGAGUCCCAAGCACAUGAUACUACUUAUGUUACCCCCACUAUGGCUAGCCUUAAUCACCGUGUGGGGAUCGAGGCACACGACCCAUGUUCGCACAUCAUGGUGAUUGUCGGGUCCAUGUUGCUAUGUGGGCCCAUGGACGGGACCAGUCUGGCUUGUCGGAACCAGACUGGAUAAUCAUCACCGAAGUGCACGGGAAAUCUUCACGCCAACAGGUCGGCUGCACGGAAAACAUUUUUGACGUGCAACUCGGCCGAAUUCCUUCAACCUUUUUCAAGACCAAGGUGGUUCAUGUCACUUAUCAGGAGACAUUUUCAAUGAACCAGUUUGAAGACCGAGGACCGAAGACGACAUGCAGUUUGGAUGGACUGAGGUGCAACCAGACUUGAAGAGCGGUUCAGGAGCUACUCAUGGUGGCAUGGCUUUUUUUUUUAGCAUCGGUGGCAUGGCUAAGGGACCUCUCACCACGUGGAGUCCCGACAUGGUGAACUGGGCUGAGUACCCCUUGUUGGUUCUGUCUUGGACCACUUUCGGCGGCCCAUAAUGUAGAAAUAGGAAGAUUCUAGAAGACUUAUUGUACAAGACAGGACGCUUGAUUCGUGGAGGAAACGUCAUCCUCGUGCGUAGGGAUUAUAGUGAGACCGACAUAUGGGUCCCAUUUUCUUAACCUGCCACUUAACUGUGGUGUUGAUUUUUUGUGCCACGCGGACCUGACAACUGGGUCUAAGGUGUCAUAAAGCCGACGAAAAUUUAAGCAGCCGGUCAUUGUAGUUUUUCGGAACGAAAAGUCAAAAGGAUGUUAGGUAUUUGCAAAAACAUGAAUCAUUUUAUGCUAUUUACUCUUUUUUUUUCUUAGCCAAGCUAUUUACUCGUGUUGCUCGGUUGAUAUGGUUAAUACGGAACGAGUACUUGGGCUUCCUAACGACGAUAGCGAAGCCCCAGCGAUUACGAUCUGAAAAUCAUAGGUACCUACUACGUAGAGUUUCUGUGUAGGAGUACAUGCCAAUAAAAAGGAAGCAAUUGUACAAACCAACUACAGUACUCGGUUCGGUUCGGCUGCUCGGUUCGGGAAACCGAAUGCCCAGGUCUCCUUUUAUUAGCCUGGUCACGACAGCUCCACAUGCAUUCUCUACUUGAAUAUAUGAGUGGGGGUCAUCAAAGUCUACACGUGACACGUCUCGUUGUUCUGCCUGUAACUUUCGUCCGUUCCUGCCAUCCAGAAAGCCUCCAUGGUCUUCGUUUCCGAAUGGAUCUGGCUCUGGGUUGGUGACCGAAGAGUAGACGACGCCGUUGACCUCCUUUCAUCUUUCUGCAUGCGGGUUAGUAGUGUUCUAUAUACGCAAUCUUUGCUUAAUUACUUGCUCUUUCUGCCUACAAUGGCCCAGAUUUCUAGCUAUAAUGCAUGUGGUUGCCGUGAAUUCUCUUUUGGAAAAUAAGAAAAAACAUUACCAGCUUCCUGUUGAUGAGAAGACGAUCGAAUGCACUCUUCGUCUUUGUUGGAAGAUAUUCUCUUUGUCGAGUGGAAGAAGAGGAAGGUUCCCCUGUCUGUACUUCUCAAUUUAGUGCUAUAGACCACCGUUGUUACCUAGAAGCUGGAUCAUGGCCGUCCUUUUAAGCCCCGUCCUUCUCCACAUAGAAAUCAUCCUUCCACGUUGAAGUACAGCCUCUACGUUGAAGUGAGCAAUUGCAAUUGAAAGAAGGAAAAUAAAACCUGUAAAGGGGUGAUUUUAUAACAGUCAAAAGUAAAACAAAAAUAGAACGAUCUACUAUACUGAGCUGACCCUUGCACGAGCUUGCCACCAUCGCUCAUGUGUACUGCUUUUCUUUUCUGUUCUUUUUACGGACGAAAUCGCUUAUGUGUAUUCAACGGGAGGUCACACCAGAAUGUGUAAAUCUGACCCCCUGUAUGUCCACGAAUGUGUCCACGGAUACGAGCAGACCGCUCACCAUGCAUUUGUCCACGUCCACAGUCGUCCCUUCAUAUCUGAACAUCUAAAUUCACAUACAAGCAUGGAACAUCGACCAACACACAUAAAUUUUAUACUUCAUACUAGAAAUAUCAAACUAGGACGUAGCAUAGGGAGUUUUAUAAUACAUUACUAUCGGACUAUCAUAAUUUGACAUGUUCUACUAAUUCAAAAGACUACAAAGGUAGUUCAACCACAACCGCCCGUGCCAUUGCCUUCGCCUCUGUCCUCAAUUUAUUCCCAAAGGGUGUGGAUGGGCAACGGCAUAUCUGGCUCCACCCGUGGAUCUACCUUCUAAGAUGGUGAGCUUGUCUCAAAAAAAAAAAAAGCUAAGACGGUGAGCUGUCCUAAUAAAAAGCUAAGAUGGCAUUUCUAAAAGGCGAGCGCUCGCCGGCCAAAAGAUUCGGCCGGUUUGUUUUAAACCUUUAGAUUAGAGCGCUGAUGGCCGUUAGAUAGCCACCCGAUCUGAUCGCUAUAUAAGACGCGACUUCGUCUAUUCUACGUGUCAACGGCCAUGGGCGCUCGCACCCCGUCUCUGAACUACGCGCCUAUGUCCAUGUGCGUAUCUCCGGCGAGGGCAACGGCCGCCGGCCGCUCACACCUAGUCGCCUCGCAGCAUUGCCCUCCGUUUCUCGCCAAAGAAACCUUCUCUGCUCGUCGAUUUCGGUUGCAGCUUUCCCGUCAAAACCGGAUGCAAUUUCCCCGGCAGUCCGGAUGCCAUCGACGCUCAUGGUUGCAGCAUCCCCGUGCGCCACUCGUCGCCCUCGCCGCACAGGGUUCUGCAAACAACGGCCACCAGUCAACCAUGAAUGGAUGGAUGUAGCAAAUGUUUCACCAGUUGUAGCAAAAACGUCACGGCCGCCGCCGCGGGUCGCAGCUCCGCCGUGGAUGGAUGUAGCAAAAAGUUUGCUGGUCGUAGCAAAAACCAAAGGCGGUUGCAACAAAGACAUCACCGCCUCCGGCGCGGGUUGUAGCUCCGCCUUGGAUGGACGUAGCAAAAAGUUCCGUUGAUCAUAGCAAAAACCAAUAGUGGUUGCAGCUUUGUGAUCUGUGGUUGCAGCAAAAAAUGCCAUGACCCUGAUGGUCGCCAUGCCUACCGUCGAACAAAGAACAAAAGCCCGUUCCAGCAAACGACGUGCCUGGUUGCAGCAAAACACCACGCUUGCGACAACGAUUCCAGGAAACGUGGUUGCCGGUUCCAGCAAUUCUUGACGCCGGUUCAAGCAAAUCUCGAUGCUGGUUCCCGACAGAUCACGAGUUCACGACAAUCAACUCAUCGUAUCUCCCGGACAAGCUGGUUCCAUCGGCCGCACCAUCGUAAAGCAUGGCCAUGCCCGCUUUCCAAGCACCGCGGUGGCCGGUUGCAGCAUUCACCAGGCUGAUGUGUGUUGUUCGUGGAGUGGGUUGGCUCCGGUUGAGCGACUGGUUUGCCGGCGUGGAGCCAUGGGAAGGCAGGACGCGUGUGCGUGUUUGUGUGGAGUCGGAGAACAAGAGGAUAAGAAAAGAGAUGCGAGCCAGACGAAAGGACCAUGGAGGAUUUAGGAAGAACGGGGAAGGAUAACGCAGCCGUGCUGGGUCCACAAAAGACGUGGCUGGAACACGAAAGUGGAGUCAUGGUGCGUGCUUCUUGCGCCGUAGAAUCGUAUGUGGAUCCAACGCGCAGCGCGAGAAGUUUCGUCCGGCGUUUCCCUUUCUAAUUUUUUUAAAAGAGAUGGCUCCACACCAAGUCAAAUCAACUUUGGUUGCCUAUGAAUAAUGUUUUCGCUUGCAAACAAGGGGUACCCACUCUGUCUCUCUCUCUCUCUUUUCUCCUACGGAACGGUGAUCUGUUCGAGAAAAAAUCUAAGAUGGCGAUGGCUCCACACCAAGUCAGGUCAAAAAAA
rnacentral:lncRNA from 1 species